CAGUCCCACAAGCCCGAAUUACUCCCCAACAAGUCCGACUUACUCGCCUACCAGUCCAUCAUACUCACCCACAUCUCCGAGUUACAGCCCAACAUCUCCUAGCUACAGUCCUACAUCACCAAGCUACAGCCCUACAUCUCCUAGUUAUAGUCCUACAUCACCAAGUUACAGCCCCACCUCACCAGUUUAUAGCCCUACAUCUCCAGCAUACAGCCCUACAUCUCCCGCAUAUAGCCCCACAUCACCAUCUUACAGUCCAACUUCGCCAUCUUAUAGCCCUACAUCACCAUCAUACAGCCCAACAUCCCCCUCAUACAGCCCUACCUCCCCCUCAUACAGCCCUACCUCCCCCUCAUACAGCCCUACCUCCCCCUCGUACAGCCCAACAUCACCUGCAUACAGCCCUACUUCGCCAGGAUACAGCCCAACAUCACCGAGCUACAGUCCUACUUCUCCGAGCUACAGUCCUACUUCUCCGAGCUACAAUCCUUCAUCAGCCAAGUACAGCCCUUCGCAUGCAUACUCUCCAAGCAGCCCCCGGAUGACUCCAUAUAGUCAGACUUCUCCAAGCUACAGGUGCGCAUAAUUCUAUGAAGAUCUCUAUUCUUAGUAUUAUUGCCUCAAAGGGUACUCUGUCCAUACAUAUCUGUAUUGAAUGUUACUGUUUCUGUUAUCACAGUCCAACGUCACCGACAUACUCUCCAACGUCACCAUCAUAUUCACAACCAAGUCCAUCGUACAGCCCAACAAGGUGUGUGCCAUUCAGAUCCCAUUGCCUUUGGUGCAUCUUUAUAUAUAUGCUUGAAUAGUGGUGCAUUGCAGUACUAUUAUUUUGCUUGCUGUCGUUUGUCUUACAUAUUGCCCAACUAUUAAUGCAGCCCGUUCAACACCUCUGGAGGACCUAGCCCAGAUUAUAGCCCAACCUCUCCAAAUUACAGGCAAGUCAUUGUAGUAUCAGACAGAUAUCUACCUUUCGUGGAAGACAUCGUUUUGUGUUCUGACAAAUCUCAUUUUGUACGCUGCAGCCCUAGUGGAAGCUACUCCCCCACUGCACCGGGGUACUCCCCAUCGUCCACAGGCCAAGGUAAUGACAAGGAUGACGAGAGCAAUCGUUGAAGGCGCUGAAGGAACGGUGAUGGCUACAUGGGAAGAUCGAGCCUGCGGUGCCUCGCUUUUCGUUUCCCUUUUUCUCUAAUGUUUCUGUAUGGUUGAACUCUGAGAGUAAACUUAUUUUUCUUAAGCUGCUAAUAGCAGCGAGAGUUGUUUAUGUAUGAUACUAGAACUAAGGACUGAACUGUGCUGCGACUUGCUAAGUGGUUCACCGCAUGGUGGCCGUUCAGACUUCAGAGUAAAAAUAGUAACUGAUGAUGAUAAAAUCGUGACGGUAUUAUUGGUACUAUUAUGCUAUGAUUAUAUACCAUAAGAUCUAGUUUUCUCGUUGGAAUGUUGUGUUCCGGGCGUUUUUGGUAUUGCAUUGUUUCUUCUGGUUAAGUUUUAACUUAUUUGUCUGGAUUUUUGGAACUUGGAUUGAUUAUAUAAGUUGAUCGAAGUAGCACAUGGUCUGGGCUUAGUUUAGGCCCAUCUGAACAGAACUAUUGGGAAGGGAAUUGCCCUGCUUUCCUCACCAGACCAUCGCGCAUCCCAUCAAGGAUUCAUUCAAGUUCUCGUAAAGGCUUCCAAUUGUACUGCUGCUUGAUUGGUUAUUUGGAAAUUUGUCCGCAGAACCAUUGUUGCUUGCUUGCUUGUUUGUACUGUUGAUGCGGCCUAGUUGCUUUUACAAAAGCUGUGGUUUAAGUGAAGAAAGAUAAAAAGUUGGGAGGACGAUUGACAUGAGGGGUUUCAUCUUCCCUCCAACUGCAAGCCUUUACAAUGGAUGCCGAUCAAAUACGUCUUUGUACAAAUCUCACGAAGGCCACCAUCUUCAUGUAGCGACUUUUCUAAGAUUAGACAGAGGCCUCAGUGUGCAUCUGCGGUGUUAGUUAACUGCACUUGUGGAAAUGUAAAUCACAGAGUUACCUUUUUUUUUUCUUGUUAAUUUAGAUUUGGAAAAAAAUAUUCUCUUCUCAAAAUUUCUCGUGAACGUCGGGCCAUCUGACAUGCAAAGCCAGCCUUGUGAACUAAAAAUAUUCGCUUCUUCCUCCCGGCGAGUGGCACGCGGAUGCGUCACGCGUUGCUCUCGCGUGCAACCCAUCGUGUGAUAGAGUUUUCGAACCUUUAUGCGGGAUAUAUAGUCCGCAAUAUACAUUUUUAGUAGAUAGAGACUAUUAGUAUCUUGGUCAUAAUUAUUUCAAACGUUAAUUUUGACGAUCCUGGAAGGCUCAACGAAGAGCUCUACAUGAUUGUACUACGGAAACUGAUCUCAUUUAGGCUAGUGUGUCAAAAUUCACGAGACAAAUAUCCAACUCAUUUCGUUCUCUCUUUGUCCCAACUAGCUAGGGUCCAUGGUUCUUAUUACAGCAGUAUUAGUCAACGAACAACAUCCAAUUAAUGAUCAUCAUCUUUGCUUCUCAAGCAACCAUCUUAUUAUUAUAAUUAGUACGCGUACGUCCACAGCCGUAUAUAGUUGCGGGCAUGCUUUUGCUAUCUCAUAUCUCAGGCAUGUCAUUUUUCCAGCUUUACUUGGAAGUUGGAAGGUUAAAAUAGAGUGAUUUAAGCCUCUACUUUGCCUUAAGUCCUUAAUCACUUUCUUAAUCUUUCGAGAAGAAAAAAAAAACCCACUUUCUUCUUGGUGCCAGUACACUGCACACGUAAUUGUAUCUCUAGUAACUCCACAAAUUCUUGAAGCUAGCUAGAGCAAUGCCUCAUGGCCCACGCUUCUCGAGGUAGCAAUAGAAUGAUAUAUGGGACCUUAACACAAUUCUAUUCUGCCUAAUAAAAUUAUUACUAUAAAGUAGCAUCCUCUUCCAAGUAUGCCGUCACAGUAAGUAUGAUGCAUGUGUUUGGCGUGCAUAUAUACUAUGCAAUAGAAAAAGAAAAGAAAAGAAAUGUUGGCGAUGACAUGCAUGCAUGUUUAUCAGAAGUACAUCGCGAGCUAGCCUACGUGGAUCAUGUUUUCUUUUAGAUGGCUUUAUUUGCGUACGUGGAAUCUCGACGCAAGCAAAACGUACGCGGCAGUAGUAUAUAUAUUGUGAAUUGUGUGGCGGCGACUGUCACAAAAUGCAUGCUGAAAUUCAACACGCUGUAGUCCCCGAUCGACCGCCAACCCAAGGAGGUCCAGCCACGUGUACCGGAUGGGGCCCGCGGCCACCUGCAUUAUUCCAGCCACUAGCGCCCGCCACUAGGCCCGUUGACCUUUUGUGGAUUCCCCUGUUCAUGAGGUGAUCAAGCUAGCUAGCACACGCCAUGGUAUGUAAUGUACCGGGUGUUUCUCGUUCCUAGCUUGGUGCGUUUAGCCGUCAAAUCCCUCUCAAGUCUCAAGCUAACGUCUUGUUUACUUCGUCCAAAAUCUAAUUUUUUUUUUUCAAGAUUUUCCAUUCCCAUCGAUUCUUGCUGUGCUUAUAUGGAACAUUAAGUAUAGAUGAAAAAAGAUAACUAAUUGCACAGUUUAUCUGUGAUUUACAAGACGAAUUUGUUAAACUUAGUUAGUCUAUAAUUAGAUAAUAAUUAUCAAAUAUAAACGAAAAUACUUUAGUACCCAAAUUUAUAAAGUUUUUGGAUCUAUAAGGCCUAAGUGGCUAAAGGCUUAGCAACGACAAGUGCAAACCGGCUACCAUAUUUGUCCAAAAGCUAUAGCCUUGAGUCACCCACCGAGCUAGAGAUUCACAUGACACGAAGAAAAGAGAUAAAAAGGAGAAAGUAUAUUCGUGGAGAGCAUGCAAAACCAGCCUUUUGGAAAUAACAUACACACACUUUGGACCCGUUGUCGUAUGCAGAGUAGACAGCAGUUUCUGCAGCAUGCAAAUUGACUCGUGUUUUAUGAGGAAAAACAACAGUGCAUUGUGGCCAUGAAGCUUCGUAACAAGCGAUGUUGCAGCAGCAAGCCCACAAAGCUGUUCACCACCCGCAGACCGCCGCCUGAUGCAAUUGACUGUACGUAAGCUGGUAGCACUUUGCCGCACCCUGUCACAGGCUCACAGCAGCGACUCCAAUUAUUUAUUACAAUGCUUGCAAAAUAAACUUAUUUGUACAACUUCGUUUGUAUUUGACAAAUAUUAUCCAGUCAUGAACUAACUAGCCUCAAAAGAUUCGUCUCGUAAAUUACAGGCAAACUGUACAAUUAGUUAUUAAUUUUAUCUAUAUUUAAUGCUUCAUGCAUGCGUCGCAAGAUUUGAUGUGACGGAAAAUCUGAAUUUUUUUUAAAUUUUUUUAGGAACUAAAUAAGGCCUAGCUUCCAAUUCUAUCUUCAACAAUAGAUUUAUGAGUGAACCUAUUUUCAUUGUAAGGCUGAAUUGGUGUUGCCACCCAAUUCAAUUCCUCCGGGCUAACAUAUAUCUACGUCGAAACAGACCAUAAGAUUUCUAAAUCAGAUAGAUGUCCUUAGGUCCUUCAUUUUGAACCCAUGGUGCAGCGAACUGAGAUAUCUGGUUGUGUUUCUUACGGUGAAACCUAUUCACCUGGAUCCAAGUCCUCGACUUGACUCGGGUGCUCGUAUUUUUUUGAUUAAAUCUAUGACUAUGAUUUAUUGAUAACACUAUUUUUCCAGUGGUAGGCAACGUGUCUGUCGCCACCAAAAUAUUUAUGGUGACUUCGUCAAUCUCAAGAUUGUCCACAUGAAUAGGGUGUAUAUGCAUGUGUUUAUCAGGUGAGUAUACGCUCAUGUAUGUCUAAAAAAAAGAGUCGCGCCAACCAUGCAGUCAAGCCAAUGCAUUUAAUUAAGCAUAGUGAUGAGAUUGAGGGCCUGUUUAGAUCCCAAAUUUUUACAUCCCGAAACUUUUGGCUGUAAACUUUACAUUUAAAUAGAUGUUUAGAUGUUUCCUAAAUUUUUUGGUCUAUAAGACACAUGACACGGGUCCCUAAGCAAGUUUACACAGUUUUGGGACUCCAAGGUCCCAAAUUCCAAAUCUACGGCAAGUUUUACAAGCCCCUAUUUAGAUACAUUCUUCCAAAAAAUGCUCAUUUCUCCAAAAGUUUUGGCUGUUUAGCUGUAUCUAAACAGGCCCUGAGAUGGCCGGUGGACUCAAAGCGUCAGCCUUGAAUUCAUUUCAGGACUGCUCUUCUAAAAAGAUUGUCUCUGUUUGGAUCUAAAGUAUUUUUUUAGAGUUUUAGAAAAAUAACAUGGUUUUAGAAAAAUAUUCUAGUUUUAAAAUGCUAUGAAGUGUUAGAGUGUAACAAACUUUAUAGUUUUGAAUACGAUGGUAUGGUUUAAACUGUGUAGUCUUUUUUGGAGUUUUUAAAAAUCCACUCUAUACCUCUUUUUAUCUAAACCAUGGUUUUGCACCUACAUAAAUGGUUCUAAAACUACAAUUUCUUAAUACUACAACAUCCAAACAAAACUUUUCUGGAUUAAAAAAACUACAUGAAACAAUGAAAAUUAGGAACAGGCCGGUGGAAGACGCAGAUAUACCUAGCGUAGCCGCUUGGGUUUCUCAAGAGAGUCUAUUUUUUCGAAUUCAUUUUAAUGAAAACCUUAUCUUAGAUCUCUCUCUGUUCUACAAAUCCACACACCGUAUCAUAGAGACAUGCAAUGCAAAGUAGUGACACAAUACAGGUAGCAGGUUCUAUCUGGUUCACAGGUAACAUGCAUAGAACAGUAGUUUUUUUUUCCCCACACAACUAGCUAGUCCAUUCUAGAACAAAAGUAUAAAGACGAGGCCACGGUCAAAAGAAACUAAUUAAAACUCACCCAGACGAGCACGGGACCAGAUGAAGAGAGAAAAAAAAGAAGCUUUCUGCAAAUGAAUUGCACUUUGCACACGUGAGAUCGAGUGAGAUGGAUAGCAAAAGUGUGUUCUACAGACAGGACGUACGUGGUCGAUCUGGCUCCCACAAAUUAAGCACCGAAACACUUGCAAUGCAUGCAUUGUACCGCGGCCACUGCGUGCACGCCCGAUCGAUCCCGUCGUCGAUCGAUAGGCGACCCUCCUGAUCUAGACGUCUGUCUGUCUGCCUGCGCCGGCCACUGAAUAUACGUGCAUAUGCUUCUCACAUGCUGCUGCUGGCUGCACACAGCGAUGCUUCCGAUCGAUCAUCGAUCUUGUGGACGACGACGACGACGACGACGACGACCGGCACCACCACCUUUUCCGGCCACUAACAAGAAGCAGACGACGACCAUGCAUGGCCAGGGAGAGGUACCUACCACACCAGUCACAAGUUGCCUACAGCCUACAACUCUCUCCAGCCUCAAACUCCCAACGGCGGCUAGGCUAGCUAGUAGCUACCCCACACGCACCAACGGAACAACCAGCAGCCAAGGAUGCAUGCAUAUGCUAACUUGGCACGCCACGUGAUGCGUGGCGUGCCACGUUAACAUAUGCAUGCACAUCGUGUACGUGUGGCGGACACGUCACGCGCAAAGGCCAGUCGGGUAUUGACACAUCGGCAGGGGGAACGUACAGGCUUUGGGGCCUAGGGAUGAGCAUGAUUGUCCUCUCAGGAGCUGGAUCUAAUCAUGAUUAUACAUUAAGUGAUGCAUGGGCCAGGUUUAGUGGAUGAGGUCCCAUGCUGUCUGCUGGGGUACAUACUUGGAUACUCGGAUGAUGCAUGGUUGUGAUCGAUGCAGCAAAUGAAACCGAUCGAUAAUGGUGGCAUCAGCUCUCUCUGUGUCAUGUGUCGGCCGGAAAUCGCCUCCAUGAUUGGUUGGACUUGGACCCCCCUCCAUCUGCACCAGCGAUUUUCUCCAUUCAGUCUUUCAGAUCGUAUAGCCAUCUUUGGAAAAAUAUGGCACCUUUAUUAAUUUGACAGAGGAAAAAAAAUGCAUGCAUGCUUUUCUCUUCUUUGAUUUGACAUGCAUGUGUAAUGUGUUUUGUUGUUCAGUUGGAUUGUACAUUUUGUCUUGCACUGCAGCGCGCUGAAAUGCUAAUGAUGUCUAUACCACUUCAAAUACAGCUUCACUCUUUAUUUCCUGAUAGACACAGAUGUAUAAAUGUGGGUUUCCCUAAGGUGCCGUUUUGGAUCCUUUCAUUUCGAGAAAUUGAAAUCUACUCAACAAACUCAGCUAUUUGGCUUGGAAUUUGAUAUUCCUCCACUUUUCAAAGUUCACCUAUAAGUCUAUCUCAUCAUCAUAAGGUGGGAGAUGGAAAUUGAUUCUAUAGAUCACUAUGCUAUGUUUUUACUUUACAACUUAUAACACCAUCUUCAACUCGCUCUCCUACAGUAGAAAAUACGUAGAAGUAUCUCUCUCAUAUAGCCAACAAUAAUAUACAAAUAUAAUCCAUAUACAACCAUACUAGCUUAAUUCAUCAUAUGUGUCUAAAAAUUAUGAUUAUUAAAAUAAUUUCAGGCCUAAAGAAAAUGUGCUAUGCUAUAUUUCAGUCUUGUACUGCCCUGGACUUCUUUUGAUUUCUCUCAUUUUUUUUUCUUCCCUCUCUCCGUUGGUGAAAAAAUGCUGGCCAUUCAUCUGCUGACCACUUAUUAGGGAGCUGAGCCCACAUAAUCUUUUGAGGACAGUUGAUUGGAGGCUUGAGUUGACCCAUCUCUAUCAUUAUGUCUACAACAAUGUGUGCAAUAAUUAAGGUCUAAUGAAAAAGAAAGAAAAACUAGUAACAUGCAUUUGCUCAACUCCACUAUCUUCAAAAGCAAUAAAAUCUUGUGGCUUUAAUUUGACUAUUGAGGUCAUCCCUCCCGCAUAUGCACUGAACAACACAUACGGCUGACAGGGAUCCUCGUUACUCAGGGGGCCUUAUCAAUUUUCUGGAAAAAUAAUUGAGUUGACAAAAGUAUUCAAAAUUUGAGGUGUCCUCGCUUCCCCACCUGUUUUAGAAAAAAGAAAUAUAUUAAUAAUAUCUUAGUCUCUACAUCGAUCAAUAUAUAUAAUUGUUUCUUAUUACAAUCACCAAUACCACAACCUAACGUGAGAGGAGCUGCCUCAUAUGCACACCAAAAUGGCCAGCACGCUACACAAAGGGGAGAGAUCCGAUCGAUAGGCGCCUCCAAUGAAGAAUGCGGCGCCUGAAGGCAUUGCCAUCAUCAGUCUCGGGGAACAGCUUUCGCUAUGGUGCCUCACCCCGUGCGUGGCAUUGGCCAAUGUCCAUACUCACUAUGUCGGCAACCACCCAUCAGUGAAGCCGACAACCGGCCUCGCUGCCGCCAACCAUGCCCCUGGCAGUACUGCCGGCCGACAGACCAUAGAUCUAGCCCUACACAACAUUGCCGCACAUUGAAGUCACUGCAGACUGCCGCUGCUGGCUCUGGCGUCUGUCGUCGUUGCUAUUGGCCUCUGUUGAUUGCCUCAGGCACUCCACGGCUGGAUCCGCCCAGCCUAACUGCGGUAGGCAAGACCCGGUGGGAGGGGAGCCACCGCCAUCGCCUAGAGGUCCAGCCAGCGCACCCUCGCUAGAUCCUGGCGUGCCAUCUCUGUACCACCGAUGUGUGUCAUUGAGACCAGAUCUGGCCGCCAGAGGCGAUUUCGCCGUCCAUGAGUCCAAAUCUGAAGACCGGAGACCUCAAUAGUGAGGCAGCCACCUCCACCUCCAACGACCCCUCUAUGCUUCGCUAGAUCCACACAAUGCACCGGAUCGAGCCCUAGGAAGCCCAGCCACUGCCGUGCCUUGCCAUCGCCACCACUCAAUGUGCGUUGUUGCACUGCUCUUCUCCAGAAGCGCUAAGCCAUGGUUUUACCCCGGUCACAGCCUCACAGGGCAUCACACCAAGCUCUACGACUGGAAGCGCCCACCCGGGCCCUGGCCGGUGCCGCCACAACCGCAGGGGCAGCCCAGCCGAGUCCCACGCCGCUCAAUCUCGGUUGCACCCCACCGGACUGCAGCCACCCGUGCCACCAUACUACCAUCACACGAGAAUGGCCCGGCAUUACCAUCCCGACGAGCCGUGCUGGCCUUGCCAACAGCCUGCUCCUGCGGCGGUGCGGCAGGAGAGAGGAAGGAGGGUGGGGGCGACGGUGGCUCAGUGGGCACCUAGGUUGCUAGCGUGGGGGAUGACGCGGGGGCAAGGUUGAGUUGGGCACAAGGACAAAUGGAUGAUCCCUCGCUUCUCCACAUGUUGUUUUCUAAUAAAUAAAAAAUAUGAGUUUCAUGAGAGACAGAAAAUAGAAAUAAUAAACUGGGUUCAACAAUUAUGCGCCGGCUUUAAUUUAUGAUAAAUAAGCAUAUAGGCCCAAACCAACUCACUAACAAGUACAGAUGUAAACUGACUAGCUUCAAGUUAAAAAAAAUAAGAGUCUAAACUCAUCAAUCAUGAGAAUUUAGAAUAUAUCAAUAUGCAUGAUUUCCAUUGACAGUUUUUUGAGAGAGUGUUUUCACUGUUGGUGCAUAGUCACAAGAUGAGCUUAAAUACUUUAUUACCCAUCUCAAUAUAAAAGGUUUUGUAUGUGAACUGAGACUACAAUUUGGUUUGUAAGCAAAAUAAUCAUCUAGAGACAAGUAAACAAAGAGAUAAAACAAGGACUACAAAAAUCAUCCAGAAACAAAAUUACAUGAUAGAUUAACUUUAUAAAAUACAUAAUUUAUUUCAGUCUAUUAUAGUAGACAACUUUUAUGAUACUCUGAAUUGACCGUUCUUUUAGAAUAAACUUGAUCAAACUAAGGAUGGAUUGAAUUAGGACAAGUGAAAACCAGCAUGUAACGUCUUGUGGUGACACUAGAGCCACCCGAUUUCAUUUCCCCUAUGUCUACAACAAUUUGUGCAAUUAUAUAUAAGGUCUAGUGAAAAAGAAGAAAAACUAGUAACAUGCAUUUGCUCAAUUCCACUAUCUUCAAAUCAAAAGCAAUAAAAUCAUGUGGCUUUGACUAUUGAGGCCACACCUAGUGGGUACUGGGUAAAACAUUUUAUUUUUAUUUUUAUUUUAUUUUAUUUUAUUAUUAAUGAUUUACCACUCCUGAAAUUUAGUGGACCAGAUAUGUUUGAACUCUUAGCUCCUAGGAGGUAAUUGCAGUACCUUAUCAGUGCCCCAAAUUAUAACAUGACAGAAUUGACAUCCUGCAGAUAUGCUAUGUAUAUAUAUUAUAUCACUAGAUGCCACCAUCAUCAUCGAGCAUUUCCUUAUGCAUUCACGCCCUUCUCUUUCAGUGUUUGUUCUGUGGUAAUUACACAAUCAUAGUGCAAACGUCCAUCAUGAUGCACCCGUCGUUGAUGUGAAUGCAAAGUCUUCGGUAAAAGGAGUCAAAUUUGUAAUGGUGUUCGAUUAGAAUAUAUCCUACUGCAGAAAAGGUGAAUUUGAUAAACGGUGAAGCCUUUCAAGUUCCAUUGUAUAUGUCAUAUCACAGCUCCUCCAUGAGAGGCCUAUAAUUUGUUGAAAUGGUUUGCUUUGUUGUCAGCUAGUGCGAGGUGCAAGAGGAUAUUCCAUGGUUUUGUCUAAUUGUUAAAGACAAAAAAAAAAGUUGUUUUCCUCAGACUUCAUACAUUCGUCAGGUAUCCUGAGAUCCAACUGCAAGUUCCACAAACAUUGUAUCUAAACUGAGAGCUAAAGUUUCAGUAAUUCCACAAAAUCAUGUUUGAUAAGCUUAUGAGAUUGACACACUUAGUUCUCGAAUGUAUGUCAUCUGAAUUUGAACAGAAAUAAUUCUACUGCUAAGAUGGAAACCAGGCUGAGGCCAGAAUAAAAACUAGUAUACCCUUCUUCUAAAAUGAUGGAAACUAGGCGUUGGCUCCACAUGGAGAAAAAUGUCGUCACCGCUUAUCAUUAUCCAUGACAAUUGCUGAAAUCAUUUACAUUAUCGUCCAGAGAGUAACACAUAUAUUGUAGACAACUGAAUAGUGUUUCAGCCGAUUGUCAUCCAAGACCUUGUGUUGGCAUCUAAAUAGGAAGGAAAAGCAGCUUCAAAUUAAAAUAAUAAAAGAAACAGUUGGAACAUUAUAAGAACCUGUUAAAGACCAUUAGAAAAGAUUACCCAAAAGGAAGGAUGUCAUGGCGCCAAUUGUCAUGGUCUCUUAGAAAAAUAUGAAGCCACGAUGCUUUGUCGUUGUAACAUGCGUGCUAUUUGGUGGAGGCGAGAUGUGACAAAUUUUAUCUUGCUUUUUUUCCUGAUCAUAUAUUAUGUCGACACUGCAUGUGAAUGUGAUGGAGAUCUCCUAUUAAGCUUUGACUUCCAAAGUACCAAAUAUGUUUGUUAAUUUCCAUCUACACCAAUCAUGCAGUCCUGGGAAAAUAUGAAGACUUAUAAAGUGAACUUUUGAGUUAAAAACAGGGAGGUAGCUGCUGCUGAUGGAUGGCACACAAUGCAUUGUUAUCUUAAAUGUCUUCUACACCGCCAUUUGUAUCUCUACUUGACACAUAGUAAUUUACAUUUUCAGAAGCCAUGACACAUCACAAGUCUACUAGAACAGCGAAAUCUCCAAGAAUGAGAACCAAUCAAGUCUCUAUCUCUUGAUUUCUUAUUUCGCCAAGCAGUUUUGAGUGUCAAGCUCUGCCCAUGCAUUUAGUAUAUACCUGAAAAUCUUCAGAAGAAACCUAAUCCUGCACACAUACCAAUCCAAACAGUAUAAGAAAUUGUGAUGGAAACUCGCCACUGGCUUCUAUAUAUAGUGACACAAUUGACUGAUUAGGACUUCCUUUUCUUUGACACGAAUCAGGUAGAGGAGAUCGAGCUGCCGAGAUUGGGACUUCCUUUGGAGAAGGUAGCAACACAGAUUUUUUUUUAAGCACCACCAGGAAUUCUAGCACUCAAGCUUGCGAUGUGGAGAGUGUGGUGCUCGUUUCGUAAAAAAAAAAGAGUGUGGUGCUCAAUGGUGGUACCAGUUAUAAUCAGAUAGAGAGCUAUAAAUUAAAAGGAAAAAUGAGAUCUCAAAUGUAUCCAUCAAUGUCUGAAGUUUCAGUGUUCGCAAACAGUACUUGCCAUUCACAAAAUGUUCUACCCGACUACCACUAUAUGCUUUUCACAAAUGCUUGUACCUUUCAUACCUGGUACGUGGCAUGAGGACCAGUUCAAUAAUGCAGCAUACCAAUUGAUAUUGCCUGGGAUGUGGGAUCUAGGCAGGCUACUUAACCUUUCAUCAUUGUACAGUUCUGAUUGUCUGACCCUAUCAAAUAAUGAAAAGGGACAACUUUGUAGCGUAAUCUGACUUAUGUAGCGAAUAACUGUAAUGCAGCAAAAGGCAUGCAAUAGUUUGAGUUUUUCAACAUGAUGUCGAUCAAGCCAUCCAGAUGGGCACCUGUACGUGCAUAUAAAUCUGGAUCCUUAUCAUCCAGGUCUGAAAAAGGUUUUUAUGAACGAUCCUACUGCUGUUUUUCUGUUUCACUGAAAAAGGAUUCAAAAAGUCACUAGGACCUGAGUUUAAUAAUGAAGACAAUGACUGCGAUUACAGAAACGGACAGCAACUUAUACUGUGCUUUCUGAAUCUUGUACCCUAUCCUAUAAGGUCAAUUUCUUUCAUUAUCUGCAGUAGCAACAGCAAGCACAGGUCAUUUAAAUGAUUGCUUCAGAGCAUGGGGCUAUGUAUUGGCAGAAUUGAUUACUCCAAAAGUUUGGUUUGCUUUAACUUCUAGAGAUUAACUAUAAGCAUGAUAUCACCAUGGGUCAAUAAAGUGAGACGGCUGUCUUUUGGCACAGAUCACCAUCAUCAAAGUCAAAGGAGAAGCUCAAUAAUGCAGCAGGAAAUUAGUAUUGCGCCGCAAGUAUGUCAUUUAAAUUGCGGCUCGCAAUGUUUUUUGAACCUUCACGACGCUGCAACGUCCAAAAGGACACGUAGUCACGCUGAUCGGAACGUUUUGUUAUCCAGUUUCAAUAAUUGAUGUCAAGGAGUUCUUAAUAAAAAUAUACCUGUCAUUCAUAUGUUUCCAUAUAAAAAAUGCUCCUGCGAUCAAAUAGCAUAUAGAUAAAAGAUGACACAUCAAGUGGGCAUUGUCAUUGAGCCUAUACCAUGUAGAGUGCCUGUAUUACUGGUAUUGUUAAAUGCAGAAUCUUGUCAAUGUGUUUGUUCUUGUAGCAUUAUCCUCACUCCUGAAGGAAUAUUAAGAUGGUGUGAGAAAUUAAAGCAAUUGUUUAGGGUCCUUCUUAGUCCUGCAACAUGAUUGUCCCAUGGGUUUUGGUAAGAUUUAAGGGCCCACCAUUUCCUUGUGAUCAGUUUUUUGGGCCUAUUAGAAGGCAUCUCCAGUACUGUUUGGGGUUAAGGGAGCUCUAUCAUGAGGCUUGAAAAUGCAUGGUACUAGGAGAAUACCCCGCGCGUUGCUGCGGGAAUUUCAGAUAGUUUAAAAAGAAAUUAGAUUAUUUAUAUUUAUAGUUAUAUGAUUGAAAUUAUCUUAAAUUAAUUUUGUUGAAUGGUUUGGCACAUCAAUAUGAACAACUAAAUGCAUGUUAGUAGAUGAAGAGAUGACUUAUCAUAAUUAUAUGUGCUAGUUGGCUAUAAUUGCAAGUUUUAGUAGAUUGUUGAUGUGGAUAGCUUGCAUGUUGAGAGAAAUCUCUAGUGGGGUUUAGCUUUAUAAGAGUAUAAGAUAAGAUAAGAUUAGAGCUAAUGACAGAGCACCCAACGGUCAGAUUAUCUUGGAACAUGUAACAGUGAUUGUAGGCUUAAAUGUAAUCGUAUCUUAUUGCAGAUGAUUAAAUCCAGGAGAAUUAGUUGAUCUCAGUACUGCUUUACCCAAAACUGAUGCAAAACAACGUUUCUGACAAAUGGUGACAGACAGCUGAAAAGGAUUUAUUUUUUCAGCCAAAAAAAGGUAGACCUAUAUUUCAAAUAGUAGCUCUUGGCUAUUUAAAAGUUAAAACAGCUUGUGCAAGAGAUUUUUAACGCUAAACACUCAAUUAUUUCAUUAAAUUGUUUUUGUACCCCCCCUCCCAAAAAAAUGCACUGUAUUAUUGGCUGAACUCCUCUAAAAUAUCAUAAAUAAAUAGAAUGGUAAUUAAAAAAAUAGUACUUCAUGAGACUAUGGAACUCUACUUUGGAAAUGCCCUUGCAGCUAUGAGAGUCUAUGGGGAACAAAUUCCCAGAAGAAGAUAAUUAGUUUCUAAAUCCAGGAUGCUUUCCUACUAACUGCAUUAGGUUCAUUAACCCCUGAUGAAUCCAAUCCAUACCCUAUCUAGGUUCGUGAUCACUGAUCACUAGCAGAAUAUGAAAAUUGGUUUGCCGGCGUUCAAUAUUUUCUGGGAAAAGAAUAUUUCCUAAAUCUGCAUACAUAGACCAUGUGUCCAUGUAUUAGCAUUGUUCAAGUUUAUUUACUGCGUUGGUUCAACUGCAGUAGCGCACUAGUUGAGCUGCGAUAUAGUCUGCACAAGUAGUUUAAUUAGCUAAAACCUAGUAUAUGUUCUAGUGGUUACCAACACAAGUUUUAUUAUAUUCUCCAUAUUCCAAAAAGCAAAAGGCCAAGAAAAUGACUUAUAUAUUGAUAGUUUUGAAGGAAAAAAUGUCCACAGUAAUAAUUAAUAAAAGGGGCAAAUUCUCUGAUAAAAGAAACAAAAGGGGCCUGCCAACAUUAUAUAUUUUGGGAAAGAAAAGUAGUUGCUAAAGAUGGUUCUCUUCUAGUAUAUGUUUAUGCAAUGUUGAUAUUAAUAAAAAUGUACCACUUAAAGUCUAAAGCUAACAAUUCUUCUCCCAGUGAAAGCCAUAUACAUAUGCAUCUAGAGAAUUAGGCAUACACACAUAUAUAUAUAUAGUACACUUCGGGAGGCCCUGAUUGCUCUUUGGAGCAUCCAAGAGAUUGUGCAGUUUAACAAACUUGCAAAGAAACAGACAAGAUAGAGAUAACAUCCAGUAGGUUUUGGGCCUGACAUAUAUAAAUGCCGGUUGCUUUGCAUAUCUUUUCUCCCUUAUAAGAAUAAAGAGAAAAGCCACAUGCUCUAAAGCUGGCUUUUGGUGUUCUUUCUAUAUCUUAAUCGUGACCAAGUGAUCCAAAAGGGUAGCUGCAUGCAGGCAGAGAGAGAGAGAGAGAGAGAGAGAGAGAGAGAGAGAGAGAGAGAGAGAGAGAGAGAGAGAGAGAGAGAGAGAGAGAGCUUUGUGAUCAAUGUGCAAAUGGAACAAAUCAAUGAUCAUUUGAUUUGAAAAUUUGUCCAGUUAUAUAAAUAUUAAACAAUGUCUUUUGAGGAAAAAGGGCAGGUGUUUUAUGUUCUUUCCCAAGGAUAAAUACUACCACCCCCGGUCACAAAUAUUUGACACAAAUUACUUUGCAUGGUCUUCUAAUUUCUUUUGUGAUUAUUCUUAAAAUCCUUCAAAUAUAAGAAAUUUCUAAAUGUUUUAACUACAAAUUAAUAUAUAUAACUUACACAUUUUUUGGAACUCAAUAAUGUAAUAGUUGUUGAUGGUUGUUCAAAAGUUUGCCUAGUCUUAUCCUAAGAGACAUUUUUUGUGAACGGGGAAGGAGGACUACAUUUGUGGCAACAGGAGAUUAUACAAUGAUUCCAAUGCAUUAACAAGGACUGUGUUGGUGAUAUCUAUGGACAUGAGCACAAACAAUGGGCAUCUUCAGCUGAGCAAAUACACGUUCAAUCCUUUAUGAAUUCAUCCUCUUUAUCACAAAAAGUAAGAUUUCUGUUUUUUUAACUACACAAUAUAGAUAUAGAUAUAGAUAUAGAUAUAGAUAUAGAUAUAGAUAUAGAUAUAGAUAUAGAUAUAGAUAUACACAAACAUACAUGCCUGCACGACAUGCACAUCACCUACCACAGAAAUAACACCUUAAAUUUUUAAAUAAAUUCAGAAAAAUACGAACACCAGAAGACUUUAACCUAGGCAAGUUCAACCACAAAAAAUCAGCUGAGUUAUGCUUAAAGCUCAGCUUGUAAGUAAACUUUUGUUGUAUUUUUUUUGUCAAUUUUCUUUUGUCCAGUGUAUCUAGUCCAUAAUAUUAAAAAUAGUGAUGUGCCCAACCAAAAUAAUCACCAUUUCAAAAUUGUCGAAAGAGAACAAACAAACUAAAUGGUACCCGCUUGCAUCAUAUCAUCACAUAAAACUUUCACCAGAUUUUUUUUGGAAAAAUGUAUAAAGAGACGAAAAAAUAGCCCUUUCAUAAUAAAGCAUAGAAACACGCAUUAUUCAAAGCGACAGGUAAAAAAAAGAGACGACAGAAGGGUUGCCAGAUGCAUAGUGUUUUGCUACGUCGAUCGAUGAUGCAUGUAGGUAUCACGCCACGUGGUGUGUCAUGUGUGUGUGUGCGCACAAUCUCACCUACAGGUCAACUCCAGAUAUGACUUUCGGUGCAAGUGCAAACUACACAAGUCAAAACUGACAAGUAAACUUUGGUGAAUUUGUAUUAGAAUCUAUAUAUACUUCUAUAUAUAUAGCAGCUAAUUUCUUCAAAAAAAUAUAUAGCAGCUAGUUAGUGUGGCAAUGGCACUGUCUCUUUCCAUAUCCGGUAAUAAUUGUUACCGAGUCGGCAGAUAGUGUUUCUUGUGGUCAUCAACGUCAAGCCCCCACCUUGUCAAAAAAAAAAGUCAAGCCCCCACAUGCGCAAAAUACCUCAACGAUCAGUAGUGCCACGUUAACUUUUUGUCAUCUACGUAUACCAUGUGUGUACAUUGUCACCUAGGUCUGACUACGUAGGAGGCAUAGGAAAAACUAAAUAGUCUGUUUGAGGAGUAACUACGCUAUAAAAAAAAGAUUUUAGAAAACAUCUCAUUUAUUUUCAGAGGUGGGUAUAAGAAAAUCUCAUCUUUGUUAAUCUAGGCACACCUUUUAAAUUAGUUUUUAGAGGCAAAUAACUUAAGAGUCCUGCCUCUAAAAAUUGAACAAUUUUCAUAGGCAUAUCUUAACUUGUCUGCCUAUGAAAACAUGUCCAUGCUCAAUUAAUAUUAACUUGUCUCUCACAAAUAUAUAUAUCCGCCUAAAUAAGCUCUAGGGCUUUCUUGUCGUUGCUCGCGCUCCAUCUAAUUCCCCUAACUGGCCUGCUUUAUCCCUCUCCCUCCGUACUCGGUCCACUCGAAUCCCUCUUUCUGCACACUCGAUCAUCUCUCGCGGAUUCUAUAGCCAGAUUCUAGGGCGACACUCCUCCCCAUACCAAAUCCACUCAUCCUCAGGCUUGUGGAGAAGCGGCGUGAGGAGGUAGCAACCUAGCAUGAGGAACCGAGUGGCACAGAACUACAUCUCAUGCCUAGAUCUAUGGAGUCUGAUACCUAUCGUUGUCAAGCAUGGCAGUGGUAGAUCUUGUUCUAGUGAGUACAUCUAGCCUUCCUCGUUCGAGUUCUCUCUCCUGCCUCCCUCCUUGUGAAUCUACCAUAGUGGAGGUGGUGCCCAAAGGAGUGCAAACUUCCAGACCGCUUAGGUAAGUGGCUUUGGUGGUUAAUGAUAAUGUUGCUUUUAUGACUAAUGUGUGUGUUUUUGUGAAACAAGUCUAAUGUUGGGUUACAAUGCGCAGAGAUAAAGGAGUAUCCUCAAGCAUUGAUGAAGAAACGAAUUGAGGAAAGCUUUAGCAUGUGUCGCUAGUGUAUGGAUUGGAGGAUCAAGGCCACAAUGCAUGAAGAAUGGUGCAUCCCCAUUGGUGAUGACAAGAAGUUCAAAGAUCUCAAUGAUGAAGAAGGAGAUCAAUCAAGGAGUCAAGUGAAAUGAUCUAGGACAUAAGAUCAAUGGAUCGUGAAGGAGUUAGGUCUUACAAGCGAAGACCCAAGGAUUCAAGACCCUUUCAAGAGUUAGGAUUGACAAAAGGGGAUUUAUGUUUGCAAAGGAUCAACCAAAUGUUCAAGUGUGCAUGGUGGUGCAAUCUAGAUGUUCAUAUGGUACUGAGAGCUUGGUUUAUGAUGCAAAGAAACCAAUACAACAAGUUUUGUCUUAGUCUAAGUUCAUAUGAAUAAGUCCAAGGCGAGAACAGAAGAAAGUGCACUCAAGAGACAAUCUAACACCGAGGAAAGGGCACGCGCAUCAAACAAACAAAUUAGAGUCCAACCAAUGAUGUUGUGUGAAGGAACUGUGCAAAUGCAUGCACCCAAUGGUCCGACCAAUAGAAGAUGAAAGCACUGGACAAUCAACGGACCAAGGGCAUGUUUUUUUUUUGCUGCAGCUUCUGGCCUUUUGGCUCAAAAGUUGUUUUUCUACCUUUUGGCUUCUAGUUGUUGAUGUUUUCUAUUGGCCUUUGUAGUAUAUUUUUAGCUUCUUAACGCACCAAAAUCUAGAAAAACUUCUCUCAGCGUGGUUUGCAACUUUUAGUGUAUUUCCUCAUAAGCUAGUUUUCCAGUUUUCUUUUUUCAAAAGCUAGCUUAAUAGCUCGGAUGUUUGCUUCAACUUCUGGCUUCUGGCUAGUAGAAGCCAACAAAAAGCUGAAAUAAAUAGGGCCCAAAGACAAUGUCUAGGGUUUAGUGCCUUCAUGGAAAUGCAUUUAUUGGAUGGCUGGUGGAAGUUUAAAGAUGCUCUAAGAGCAGGUACAAUAAUGGGCUUAUAGCCAAGCUAAUGCUGAUGUGGAGGAGAGAAGAGAGGAGAUAAAUGAUAGCUUGGCUCUCGUGUAAGCACCAAGCUGGGCACGGAUGCGUAGGUAGUGAUGGGCCCAAAUAGCAAGUGUUGUGAGAAGGAAUAGGAAAGAGAAGAUAUUUUAGAGACAAGUAUGAGACAACUUAUUGUAUAACUUGGCUCUAAUCACUUGGCUUAUAGCCAAGCACUUGGCUCUAUUAUUGACCUUGCACUAAUCAUCUCAUGCCUGGAGAAAUGGAAUACCCUACAUUUCAUACAUUUGCCUGUGCAAAUCCAUUUAACUCCAAAUGAUGCCUGCAAGCAUACAUUUUCCAUCAAGCCACUUGGAUGAAAAUCAUGUACCUAACUACUCCCUCCAUCCCAAAUUGUAAGUCAUUUCAAAAAUCUUGGAGAGUCAAACUUUUCUAAGUUUGACCAAAUUUAUAUGAUAAAAUAAUUAUUAUUAUGAUACCAACUAAGUAUCAUUAGAUUCUUCCUUAAUUAUAUUUUCAUAAUAUACUCACUUUACGUUACAAAUCUUAGUAUUUUUCUCUAUAAGUUUGGUCAAACAUGAAAAUGCUUUGACAGUCCAAGAUUUUUGGAAUGACUUACAAUUUGGGACGGAGGGAGUAUUAUCUAAUACAAUUCUUCUUUGGUCACAAAAAAAGUGAUUCAUAAUACCUUAUAGUUACUUACUUGGGAUGACAAAUUUAAUUUAAACUUCGAUACCCUGUAUUUUAUGACCGAUGGAGUAAUAUGUUCAUAGAGCGACACUCCUUAUGGAACAGAGGUAGUAAAAACUAGAGAUUACUUGAAUGUGGCUGCUGGACAUCCGUCAAGUUUUUUUGUAUUUAUUUACGUGAGCAAUCUGAAUUAACCGUGGAGAGAGAGAGAGAGAGAGAGAGAGAGAGAGAGAGAGAGAGAGAGAGAGAGAGAGAGAGAGAGAGAGAGAGAGAGAGAGAGAGAGAUUGAGAGACUUUCCUAUACUGGAACAUUAUGCAAAAGCAAUAUUAGGAAUAGUGUUAUCUUUCUUUGUACAACUAUGUAUGGACCCUACACAAGAAGAGAAAGGAAUGGCUACCAAUUGUUGCUUGUAAAGAAGCAACACUACUUUAAUUUUGUGUGUGCGUGGAUCAAGUAAACGUAACCCUGAUGGGAUUCUCCGGCCAUCUCAUCUCCAUUGUGGACCUAGCUAUCCUAACCAGGAAUUUGAGCUCAGAGAACUGUGCCAUUAUUCCUAGAGACUACCUAUAAGAUAGAUAGCUACCGAUGAUUAGUCUCACAUCGAUCGGCAGUAGAGCCACGCCCAGGCGCUUUCAAAUGCAGAUGGGAUUAUUGGGAUUGGCUCGAAUCUGAGUUCAAUAGCUACAGCAGAAGAUGACGCUCCAUCUCUCAUUCAUAUAUGCAUGUACAUAUGUAAACGCCUUAUACGUUGAUUCAAAAAUUCAAGCUAAAACCUAAUAGUAAGUAGCAACAUAUGCAUCCUACCACAUGUCCACAUCCUCAAUGGUGUGGAUGUGUUUCUGAUUCGCUUUUCUUCGUCGUCGCCGACGAAAAUAUGAUGAGAAUACUCUAGCGCGUAGUAUAUAUGCCUCUAUCCCAAGUGGUUGUAGAUGUACGUAUCAAUUCAUCAUCAUGAUUCGAGUAUCUAUUUACAUAUGGAAUUUGUCAGCCUUGCAUUGCUUGCAUAUAUAUAUGGAUGCUAUCAAGGGAACACACACACACACACACACGCGAAUAAUCCCUGCACGGCACAUAUCUGAUGGUCACAUAUAUCUUUUUUGCCUUUUAAUUUCCAAGAACAUUUCUGUGUGGGAACCAGUAUAAACUUUGCGUGUCAAAUAAAUAUUGUGCAUGGACAAGGUAAGGAAUAUAUACAUGGAUUUUGACGAUCUUGUUCUGAACUGAACUUUCCUGGUGUAACUCUGGAGCAUGCAUGCAUUUUGAUAACCUCUGAUCGAAGCCAUAAAAUUAGUAGUCUGCACGUAUGUUCUACAUACUCUACCACAAGCAUGCGUGGCCAAGAAAAUGAACCUCCUUUCUCAUAUCAUGCGUGUCUGCCCACAAGGAGAAACUAUAUAUGUGUGGCCAUAAUACGUUCAACCACCCCUUUACCUACUACGGGUUAGGUGAGUUAAUCGUUUAUUUGUUUCACGUACUGCAUGAGUACGUUUUAGGAUGCAUGGCUUGAUUGUAACUUGUCGUGCCAAAAGACCAGUAUAUCUCAGGAAAACUCCAUCGCACACGUGCUACUUUGCCACACGUUUAAUUUGCUGACAUAUGACCAAGAUUCUACUCAGACUAUUGCACUUCCUUCAAAUUCUCCCUCUAAUAGCAGACUGACACGUACGGUCUCUGCAGUACUACUAUCUAGUGAUAUCGCUUAAAUAUUUGAAGACACGACCAGAGAAGGGUGAAUGCGAUCUAAUUCCUCUUGUCGAACAGAUAAGAAAUAUGUUGACUAUGUCCCAAAAUCGAUUCACAAACCCCUCGAGUAACGCUAGCCGAGAUCCUGUAGUCACAGCGGUCCUACAGAUCAUAAAAACGAGGCUACAAAGAUAAUGGGGAAACAAGAGGUCAAAUAAGCGAGAAAGAGUGUGUUUAAGGAAAAUUCCAAAACUCGGUUGAACGACCUUCAAACGGCAUAAAAUUUUGUGGAGGGUUUAUAAUAUGGCGAGAGACUUCUCCAUGAAAAAUGAGCUCAACUGGAGAAAGUUAGAAAUCCGUUUUUUGGGCUGGUUUCCAAACCAGCUUGAGCUGAUUUUCAGAUUUCACCGAAGAGAAAAAGUCAAAAGGAAACAAUUUUCAAAAUACUUGAAAAUCGGUUGACAGGGUUAUACCAUCAUAAGUAACAUAUUAACCAAAAAUCAGCUCAAAUUGGAGCAACUUCAAAAACCGGCCUGGGCUAGUUUUGAAACCGACUCGAGCUGGUUUAAUUUUGUAGUUUUCAGCAAAAUCCUUUCCAAAAAAAUUUGAAAUCAAUUCAAAUGACCUCCAAAAAAUUGUGAAAAUUUUCAGAUAUACCUUUGGCUAACCCCAAGAGAUCAAUCCAAAAAUAUUAAGGUUUCAAUAGUAAAUUCAAAUUUCCUCUAUUAAAUUAGGGUUUUGCAUUGUCAAGAAACCACCAAAAAGGUGAUUUCUAGGUGCUCGUUGGAAUAUGUAAAAUCACGUGCCUAGAUGAGCUCAUAAGGUCUCAUAUCACUUAAAGAUCAACCCAGAACCUUCAUAUCAAACACCUUUGACAAAUCAAAAGAAGCUAGAAAAGAGGAAUUUUGGGGAUUAGAACUUUGGAGAUAGGUGUUGGGCAUCAAUCCAUGAUUUGAACAAGUUCGAGAGGUCCCAAAACACUUCAAAAUUGAUCUUACAACUCAACCAAAGCAGUAGAUCAAAAAAUCACCAAAGAAUGGCUCCAAAAAUCCUUAAAGGACUAAUUUCAUAUUUGGAGAGGGAGUUACAACUUGAGUGUGAAUCCCACGGGCCAAGAAGGAUGGGAUCAGAUCAAGAUAUAUAUCUGAUUGCAAGCUACUCCUACCAGACUAAGCUUUGGAUUGCAAAACGUUCAAGAACAAGAGCCUCUCCUCUCUCUAACCCUAGGCAAAACUCUCAACUAGCCAAUUGAGAGCCAAAUCCCCCCAAAGGCAUAGUUUCUACAACUAAUAAUCUCUCGUCUAUAUAAGCACUUGGUUAUUUCCCAGCGUACCCUCUUGGCCUAUAUACCCACAAGGGUAAACCAUCCAAGUUUCUCUUCAUUGAUGCAAUGGACCUGCUGCCUCCUCAACUUCGCUUCACCUCAACACAAGCUUUGAGAUGCCACCAUAUGUUCAUCGACUCCCCACUCCUCGGUUUUGAGGCUGAAGCCAGUCAAACCCAUGACAGAUGGUUUUGAGGCCGAAACCACUAACCCAUCCAUCCCUAGUUUUCAGGACCAAAGUAGGAAACCCUCGUGCAUGCCUUGCCAGGCGUGACUCAACGAUGUUGACACAUGUUUGACCUCCAAGUGCUCACGAUGCCACGCUGGUUUGGUCCAACCCCGUCCUUGACUCCGGCAGACGCCGUCUUCAUCACGUAUGUACUCUUGCUCUUCAUGUUCCAAUGUAAGCUGCACACGGUCCCUUCUCCGGCCUCUGGUCCAUCAGUCCAAGCCUUCUUGUCCGCCUUUACUACUCUCGGUCCAUCGUGCACGGACUUUCGCACCUAACCUUCUCUAUUGCUGUUGACUGUCUUGACGCACCCAACACCUAUACACUCAUAAACCAAGAGACAUGUUGCACAACGCACACGACAACUCUAAUUAGCCAUUAGCAUAAUCAAGCACAUAUGAAAUAUGACUCAACCGAGAAAGUUUCAAACCUCUCAACUUUUGUGUCAAUCAUUCAUCCCAACCGGAUAAAACCAAGACACUUCCCAACUAGCUUGGUCUCUCAAUAUUCUUUUAAUUUCAGUGACUAUAUAAUUUAAUUAGGAAAAAUCAUUUCCAUGAUCAUCACCAAAUAUUCAAAUAAUCCGACAGCAUUAGCCUUACUAUGUUGUUAUUGUUGUACUGCAUAUAUAGUAUCUUCUUUUUUUGUUGGAUCUUCAGCUCCUGAUGGAAGUCAGUAGAAAAAGAGUUUGACUCAGAUACAUACGUACAGAUAAAUUCCAAGAGUCUCUAACGAGUUUCACUUUUAACACCAUGGUAAUAUCAGGGUAAAAAAAAGAUGUAGAGCACGUGCUCUUUUAUUUACCAAAACAGGCAUGAGGCAUCCAUCCAUGCAUGGGCAAGGGCAACAAGGUAAUGCAGAGACAAGACUUAGACUGACAGGUGAGGUGACAGCAACCUCCUUCGUUCACUCCAACUGCAAUGGGCAUCGAAUCCGCUGUCUACCCGGCGGUGAUCGAGCUACUGACAGCUCGGCGCCGCGUGGGCGGCCGCCGGCCAAUCCGCCAUAGACAAGCCAGCAGCGUCGCCGUCCGACGUGCCCCGGUCCCAAGCAACGCAAAAGCUAGCUUCAUUCCGAUCCGAUACCCCAGUCGUCGCCAGCUGAUCGAGAUGCCGUGCGCCAUCGACGACAGGGACGCCGGUGACAGGAUGCUGCAUGCUGUGCCCAUGUGUCGUGGCUGCCGCCGCGAGACGCAACCAUGGUGGAGGGCGGCCGGCGCGCAUCGUCGUCCGGCUAGCUGCCCCCCGGCCCACCGCAUCCUCCUCCAUUUGCAUGCAAUGCUUUCCCGAUCGAAAGAGGCCUUUUGGGAGGCACCUGUGCUCCCGUGUUGACCUCGGGAAUAUUUGUGAUAGGCUGGAGGCCUUCCCAAUAGGAGCAUCAUCUGUUUUCGGAUUUUUUUUUUCUUUUUUGAUAAUAAUAAUAUAAUUCUCUCCUCCGGCCUCCUCCGUUUGCUUUGUCUUUGUGCCUCCCCCAGCCUUACCUUUUCCAAUUGUGAACGUUACUAAUGGGCAUCUCUCUGGAUAACUACUUUUUGUUUAUUUGUUUAUUUUGGAUAAAAAAAAUGCACGGGUAGCUAGGAACUCUACCGUUCAUAUUAGAAGAAAGAAUGUACUUUUUUUCAAAAAGAAAAACACAGUUCUAGCCGCACUAAGUGUGCCGGGAAGUGUUUUUUUUUCUUAUAAAAUCACUAUUAAACAGUCCUAUGUAUCAUUGUUAAUCCAUGCCCCAUAUAUCCUUAUUAUUAUUAUUACUCCAUCUUCAAUAAGUUUUGUGUGUCUCCAUGGUAAAGGUUAGAUGGGUCAAGUGCUAUUAAAUCAAGCACUCGCAUCAAGUCGAAGAGUUAUAUACCUAGGCCUGUUUGGCUGUACUCCACUUGUAUCAUGAUGUAUUACGGUGAAAAUUCAACUAAUUUACACCACAAUCUACUUCGGCACAUAUAUAUGGAUUGAGGUGGAUACAAAUGCAUCUAAACAAGCCCUGAUGAGCAGAUUCCACCAUAAAGAUAUUUAGUUCGCAUGUCGAUGAUAAAGUCAGGAUCAAAGUUAGCUAAACUAAUGACCAUAGUUGAAUUUUGCUAGAGAUAUAUAUAAUGGUUAUUGAGUGAAUCAGGGAUGAUCAACAAAACUAGCCCUUCGGCCCGUGCUAUUGCCCAGGAAAUUCUUAUUUACUACUAUAAAUUUCUAAUAACCCUAUUUGUUAUAAAGCAACAAUAGCAUUUCCCGCUAUCCUUUUUAUGCGUGUAGAUUGAGAUAUUCUUUUUGAUAACGAAUAUUUUGUUAAGAUUCAAGUUCACUACAUCGGGUUGAUAUAACAGACUUGACAGCACUCUUGGCCUCGCUCUAAUGACUUUUUUAAUGUGAAGACUAGAUUGACACAAAUGUACUUGGGACAAAACACUAGCCACCAGCACCAAUUGCUAUGACACCGCUACAACCAAAUCAUGUGAAGUUUUCUUAGGUAGGAUUGCCCAAGUAUGAAAUCAACAGUGUGAAGUUAGGGUCAGGGUUAGGUGAAAGAAUGACCAGCAACCAGACUUGUUAUCUAUUUCUACCCUUGUCAGUUGUCAAACGACGGUCUACUAUCUAUUUAUUUAACAUAAAAAAAAUUAGACAUGAGAGCCAGUAUAGUUAUAUCGAAAAGGAGAACCAGACUAAACAAUACAAACAACCACAACAAAAAAAAAGGCAAUACAUAUGCGGCGAAUUUAGCUAGAGAUAUAUAAUUGAUUCAUUAUUGAGUUGGAUCUUUGAAUCCAACCCAAAUAUGUUUAGAGCUAGACCAACUACAAAGCAACAAGCCACCAUGAAAGGACUUCUAGGGAGCUUCUACUUUGGAAUUUAGCAUGACCAAAUACAUCCAUUGCGAUGGCCUUUCCUAAAGGUGUAUCUGGUGAGGUUACUAACCUAUACAAGUAGUAGCAAGUAGCUCAUGGAGCACUGACAGGGGGUGACAGCUACUACCGGAAGAUAUUCCAACAUAAAGAGCUAUCACUCGGUCACAUGUUGUCCGGAGAACCCAAAAUGUAUAGUGCAAGAGAAUGAUACUAGAAAGAUAUGCCAUCACAAGCUACAAUUUCGAUCACUUUAUGCCAAAUUCUUUAGUUAAAUUGAGAAAAUAGUUAUCACAAUCACAAUGCAUGCUACCAUUCAUUAGCACAUUGUAGACGAGCUCAUAGCUCGGUUGGUAGCGUUCCAGUGAUGGGAAGCUCCAGGUUAGGAGUUCUACUCCUCGCCUCCGCCACUAUGUAUGGGUGGGGUAAGGAUUCGGGGCCAGGCGGGAGGGGGUUUUAUCGACUUGCGUGAGAAGAAGAUCUUCAUUUUAAGCAUAAUGUCCGAGGUCUUUCAGUCGUUGACAUUAUUUUUAGCGUCAUCUGCUAGAAAGUGAGGUAAGAACAAUAGAUCAAUGUAAUCGUAGCAUACAAGCUACAUAUUAAUAUGAUACUCUUUCACUCUCAACUUUUGUUGGAACAUAACUUUUCACUCUCUUGCUUGCAUUCUUGCCUAGAGAAUUUAGGGGCGAACCCUACAAAAUGAAGAAUAAUUUAGACAGUGAUUUUUACAGUUUCUGUAGUCCUUAGAUAUAUAUUAGCAUCGUUACUAAUUCAUUUUAUACAAAGGUCAGAUCAAUUUGUAUUGGUAGCUUGGUUGUAGCUAGAGAACCAAUUCAGUUAAACGCUAGAUACUCCAGAUCUUGUUGCAGAUUGCAUCAUCGCAGUAGUGGGACUUUCGAUAAUGUAGGCGCUAACUAACGUAAAUAUCAUGAUCUAUUUCUACACAAGUUCUAAGUCAGCGGUACACACCACACUACGUCCAUAUACACCCAUAUGGAAUGUGCACUGGCACGCAUAUGUAAACAAAAUUGGAAUCUACAACUACAAACGCCUAGGUGGCCGGCCCGUUCUAUCGCUAAGGUGCUGACACGUGUUAUUAUUUUCAAAUUUCAACUCUCUCCAUUUCAAAUUAUAAGUUGUUUUAGCUUUUCUAGAUAUAUAAUUUUUGUUAUAUAUUUAGAUGUACGCUAGGUCUAAAAAUACAACAAAAACUAUAUACCUAAAAUGCCAUAGUACUUUGCCCCGAAGGUUGUCAGAGAAGGAGUACCUUUUUGGUACCAUUGACAUAAUAUUUUGGACUACAGCGGAUAUCUCAUACACUAUUACACAAAUGAUUUUACAAGACAGUGGACUUUUAUUAAUGGAGGCGGUCAAAAAAUCUAACCGCCUCGGUUAAUGCUUCUGAUUAACGGAGGCGGGCUUUUUUAUUUACCGAGGCGGGCACUUUUGGCCUCCUCCUAAAAUCAAUUUACGGAGGCGGACGUCUUAUUAUAACCACCUCCAAAAAUAGUAUAUUUUUAGAGGCGGUUGUGUUAAAAAAUCCGCCUCCAUAAAUCUAUUUUUGGAGGCGGGCACACUAAAAGGCCCACCUCCAAAAAUACUGGCCCAGAUUGCAAAGCCCAUAUGUAUCUCUUAUUGGGCUCCUAUAUAAAUGCAGACUUAGGGUUUCUCACCACUCCCUUACUCCCUCCCGAUCCCAACUCCCUCCGAUGCCGCACUUCUCUCCCCACUCUGACUCAACCCGCGUUCUCUCCCCAUCCAACAGCGCCAGGCCUCUACCUCCCUGUCCCAUGGCACCUCUCCUAGCCGGCACCUCUCUCCUCCUUCCCUUCCAAGCCCGCCCCUUCCCUCCUCCCCUGUGCUCUUCUACCACGGUGGCGGCGAGCCACGCAUGAGGACCAUCCCAACGGCGGAUCCUACAACGACUGCGUGCAGGGGCUCUCCAGGCGGUGCGACACAUCCUCAGCGGGCGCAGGGGCAGCCCCACGAUGGCGGUAGUGCUCCUCCCUCAGAUUUGGCUCCUCCAUCACCUGAGCAAUGGCAGCGAGCCGAAUCUUGACGUUGUAGGGAAGAUUCGGUGGCCCUGUAGGAGCAGCUCUCUCUCGUCCUCUUCCUCCUUGUGGAUCUUGGUGGCUAGGGUGGAUCUGGCACCGGUGCAGCCAGAGCACCUCCACCGCAGCAGAUCGGGUGCCCUACCUCACGUGCACGGCGCCAUGGCCACUCUCCAGCGAUGGUGCAGGAACAACAGGUGCAACAGUGGAUGGGCUCGACGCCAGGCCUAGAUGGGCUCGCGUUUGGGCUCAAUGUUUUUUAAUUUUUUUAUUUGAUUAAUGGAGGCGGGCAGAACAAACGCCUCCACAAAGUCACGGUUAACCAUGACCUUUCAUUAGAGACGGUUGCAAUACCCACCUCCAAUAAGCAUUUUCACCCGCCUCCAUUAAAAUUUAUGUACUAGUGAUACUUUCUUCGUCCACGAAAGAAUACAACUAUAAAGUUGUACCAGUCAAACUAAAUUAAAUUUGACUAGUUUAUAAUUAAUAGAAUUAACGUUUAUGUCUUCAAUAAAAUUUAUUACAAAAAUAUAUUCUAUAAUAGUUUAAUGGUAUCUAUCUUGUAUUAUAGAUGUUAUUAUUUUUAAUAUAACAUUAGUCAAAGUAGAAAUUGUGUUUGAUGUUUUGAAAAGUGAAAUUACAUUGUUUUGUGGAUAGAGGUAGUAUGUAUUAGCAUGCAUGGCUACCCUUUCUAGUAGCUUACUUGGUAUAUUACCUAGGUGUACCGUGGUGUCUGAGAAUUUUUAUUAACAAAUAUACAAGCAUUUUCUUAGCGAUUUUCAAGCAGUUUUCACUAGUACAGAUCGGUGUUAAUUUGUUGAUACCAAGCAUAUUUUUCACUGACAGUUCAUGAAGAAUAGGCGACAAUAGAAAUAAAAUUAUUAUGGGCCCAUGGCUAUGAACACUAGUGAAGAUACAUCUCUACUAGUGGAUUUCCUAAGAUUGUCGCCAGUACAAAUUCUCAAUUUGUAUUGGUCGUAGUCUUAAGACGCCAAUGUAAAUUAGGUCUAUAAAAUGGUGAUUGGCUUAAGGGACUACCAAUGUAAACAUAGGUGUAUUAGUGGUAAUCUUAAAAAAAUGUCACUAUAGAUAUGUUUACACUUACAAUUUUCUUGAUUGAUCGCUGGUAUAAAUAAUUUAAAAUUUAUAUAUUUUCUUAUUUUUUUCAAAGUACGGAGAAACGACUCGAAGGGCUCUACAACUUUAUGGUUGAUGACAUUUUCGUUUGAUAUCAUUUAGUGCUAGGAAAUUACAUUCUAAGUUUUAUAUUUUGAUUUUUUUAAAAAAAUGAAAUGACCUCAAAUUAAGAAAAGUCCUAAACUAAAGUUAUAGUACUCAAAAGAUCAAGAAUUUUAUUGGUUCAAACUUAUUUAUUUAUUUUUUUGGGUAUAAAAAAUGAAAUAUAAUAUUUGAGAAAGUGAAUAAAAAAUUGUAUUAGUUACUUGGUCACAAGGGACUCUGAAAACUCCGUGCACACAUAUUUCUGAAAAUCGCAGUAGGCCAGUAGUGGGUCCCCCCCCCCCCCCAAGGUUGGCUGAUAGGCUUCUCCCAAUUUGAAAGGAUUGCUAUUUUUUUUGACCGAUUUACGAAUUUUGUAAAACCAUUUAUACUGUGUAAUAAGCAUGCUGCCAAUAUAAAUUGAUUUACACCGACAGCUUUAAGCCAACCACUAAUGACGCCGUUGGAACAUCAUCAUUUUUAUUAACCUUUCACAAUGACGGUUCACAAAACCACAAGUGAAAAUCUAAAAUAGUAUCGUUAGUGUAAAUGUAGAGCUGUCGAUUAUAUAUUAUAAACGUAGUAUUUUUCCGUGUGGCAAGGAACAACUGACCACAUCUUUUAUCUAUAGUACUUUUGAGGUAAGGAGCUUAAAGAUAUGCAUUAAAAUAAAGGAAGAUAAAACAUAUGAUGGAGAGAAAAACACAUGUACGCUAUUAUUCUUUUGUUUAAGUAUGGAGUAUAUAUACGAUUACGAUAUACUCUCUCCGUUCCAAAUUAUAAGUUAUUCCAAAAAUCUUGGAGAGUCAAAGUAUUUUUAAGUUUAACUAAAAAUAUAGAGAGAAAUAUAAAGAUUUAUGUCAUAAAAUAGAUACAAUAUGAAAAUAUAACUAACAAGGAAUCUAAUGAUACUUGGUUGAUACCAAAAAUGUUAUUAUUUUGCUAUAUAAAUUUGGUCAAACUUGAAAAACUUUGACUCUUUAAGAUAUUUGGAAUGACUUAUAAUUUGGAACGGAGGAAGUAGUAGUGAAAAGGAAAUUAAACGGUACGCAUAUGAAUCCUAUUCACAUCUUUUUCUAGAAAAUCCUGUUUUUAUGCUAUUUUCGAGUGACGGAGCGAAGGAAUUUGCUGUCGUUACUUGAUAAUCACCCCCGAUUGAAACCCCUUGGAGUGCGCGCGAUCAUAUUGUUAUUCGAUCCUAUCCGAUAAAUCCCAUUCAGUACAUCGGAUUAGAUCGUGUUCUUUUUACAUCAAAUCUUAAUUGCUCAUAAAUACUUGAGAGAUAAGACUGUUUUUUUUAAAAAAAAGAAUACAUGAAAGAAUCCAAAAAAAAGAUGAUAUUUCAGCCUAAUUAAGAGAACAUAUAUGGAAUGAUGAAAUUAUAAUCAUCAAUUCUUGAACGUUAGAAGCUACUCAGCUAAUUAUCUAGAUAUAAGGUAUAUUUAAAGGAUUAUGAAAAAAAUUAUAUCUAAAUGCAUUAGCAAAACUACGAAGAGAGUAGUAGUUGUCAUUAUUCAUGCAAACGGCCAAAAUAUUAAACAGGCAUGAAAACAACUACUUAAUAAGAUAAAUGGCGUGCCACCACCACGUACCAUUCCUACCGUGUUUAAAUGGGCUAAACGACCGUUUAGACAAACAACGGUCAUAACAAUAUCACUAACUACCACUGUUAAUUUGAGGCUUGGUUUGCUUGAGUUUAUCUGCCAAAUCUGUUAGACAUUCAGCAGUGUUUUUCUCUCCCAAUAAAUCAGCGAACAGUAUUUUUAGCCCAUAACUUUUAAUCAAUGCUUAUGAUGUCGGCCUUGUAUAGGUUUUGACGACGUAGUGCUCCCAGUGCAAAAACCAUCAUGGUUUUUAUAGACAUUAAUUGUAGUUCUACCUAAGCAUUUUGCUGAUGUGAUAAGGUAGUUAUUGAAGAGAAAGAGCAAAAAUCAUAGAAACUGAGUCUAAGUUAGAAACCAUGUCUACACGACAUCCAAGACAUGAAGUGAUAUAUAUGAUUGGUUGAGAAUGGAGAGAGAAUAAAUAUGAUUGGAUAAAAAAUAUUCUAUAAAAACUAUCUAUUGAGACCAUAGUUUAUAUAUAUAGUGUAUAUAAAAAUUAAUAGGUAUAGAAACUACAUUAGUAUUGGAAGUGCCCUUACGCUGUUAAAAAGCGAGUGGCAGGUACAACAGUGGCAGCUUAGCUUGUGGGAUGUGCCAUCUCCAGAGAAUAUGUACGCGAUUUUGAUUUGAUCUAUCGUCAGGAAUCUCUAGGGCCUUGUUUAGUUCCUAAAAGUGAAAAUUUUUCGGAACUGUAGCACUUUCGUUUGUUUGUGACAAAUAUUAUCCAAUCAUGGACUAACUAGGAUAAAAAGAUUCGUCUCGUGAUUUUCAACUAAACUGUGUAAUUAGUUUUGUUUUCGUCUAUAUUUAAUGUUUCAUGCAUGUGCCACAAGAUUCGAUGUGACGGAGAAUUUUGAAAACUUUUUGGUUUUCAGGGUGAACUAAACAAGGAGGUAAAGGUCACAUUAUUUUUCCCAUCUCUGAUGUUGUAGUCGUUUGUACGUGUUGUAUGAAAGAGAUCGAGCAUAUGGCUCUGCAGCAUUGGUAGCCCCAAGUCGACGACACUUGUUUCUUGUGGCUCACGACCACGUACGUCUCAAUGAUGCACUAUUUGUACUUUGGUAUUCCUCACGUACGUGUAUAUAUAUAUAUAUAUAUAUAUAUAUAUAUAUAUAUAUAUAUAUAUAUGUCAGCUUGUUUAUUUCUUGUGGCCAACCAUUGCUUCAGCGUUAUCUAGCAGCUGGAGUACGUAGUAGUCUUGCAUUAAUUAUUUCUGGUUGGCCAUGUCAACUCAUGUUUCUUGUGGCUAGAUGAAGGUCACGGCUCAAUGUCACUUGGGCACAGUACUCAGGUAUUUCUCAUAGAUGUCAGCAAAAGUGAUCUCCACAUAUGUCAACUACGGUUCUCAUCAUGACCAAUGAUCGUAGUUCAUGCGUACUUCCGAACUCGAUCCCCUCACGAAUGUCAACCCUCCUAGCCAUGACAACCGCUAGCACUCAUUAUUGUUAUGUACUCCCUCCAUCCCAAAUUGCAAGUCGUUUGACUUUUUUAUCUCAAGUUUGACCACUCGUCUUAUUCAAAAAAAUUUGUGCAAAUUUAAGUCAUUCUUGAAGAACUUUUAUUAAUAAACCAAUACACAACAAAAAAAAAACUAUUUUGUACAAAACUUUGAAUAAGACGAGUGGUCAAACUUGAUAUUAAAAAAGUCAAACGACUUACAAUUUGGGAUGGAUUGAGUACAUUUUUUAUAUAAACGUGGACGCUUACAUACACCUAUAACCGCGCGCACAAAUACCAUACCUCCAUGAGUAUGUUUGAAAGACUGAGGUGGUAGGUAUUGAAGGCAUCCAAUAUUGACAAAGACACAUCAUAAGCGUCUCAAUGUUGACAGGUGCAUCGCCUUACGCUAGAAAAUAACAACACUAAAUACCAUAUAUAAUAAAAUCAAGAAAAUACGAACACCAUGUUGAGUCGAGAGAUUUCAAACAUGUUUCGAAGAGACGAAACUAGUAGACCAGCUCGUUCCUCUACAGUUUUGUAUGUACUCCACUUUUGUAACCAAUGAGAAGUUAACUCUGUCCAGUAGUUUUAGUAUAUGCAUGCCUUGGACUUCCAAUGCCAUUUACUCAAGUUCUGAUUCGAAUGGGAGGAUGUAAAAAAACUUCCACAUACUCCCUCCGAAAGCUUCUAAGCCAAACUUUUAAAAUUUUGAUCGGAUUUCUAAAAAAAAAAUUCUAAGAUUUAUAGUACCAAAUUAAUACCAUUAGAUUUAUUAUAAAAUAUAUUUUCAUAAGAUACUCAUUUUAUGUCACAGAUAUUGAUGUUUUUUUUUGUAAAGUUAGUCAAAGUUAAAAAAAAGUUUGACUGACACAUAUCCUAAGAGUUGAAGCUUUUAGUGAUAGAUAGAGUAUAAUAAGAAUCCCAUUUCAAAACCAGCGCCUUUUAAAAACCUCAAAUAAAUGCACACCUCGUACUUUGAGAAAUCAACCAAUUUUAAGAUGAACUAGAUUGUACUAACAUUUGUAUAUAUAGACAUGUCUGCUAAUAAAAUCUAGUGCCGUUUAUUUGUUAUUAUCAAUAUUAGUAUUUUUUUAUAUAUUUGCUCAAAGUUUUGACUUGCUCGGUCCCUUAAGAAAAAGAAGAAAAAAGAAAAAAAAACACCUACUGAAAAUGAGGUUGUGAAAUUGUGAUGAGGUUUUACGGUUAGUCAGUUAUUACCUACCCGUUUUGCUCGUGGGGUUUGUUUUGUUUGUACGAGCCAAAAGGCAUGCGAGCAAAUUAUCAAAAUAAUAUACUACAAGUUGUUUUGUUGGAAAAAAAAAAAAGAGUCCCAAGGACAAGGAGAAGGAAAAAGAAGCGCGUGGUGCUUGCCGCGUGUGGGACUUGUAUUGCAGGUGGGUAGUAGCAGCAGCACCAGUUCCCGUUUCCGUUUCCGUUUCUCCAGACUUAUCAACGUUACCGCCGCCGCCCAUAUGCACGCACAUCCGUUCCGUUCCGUUAGAAGUGCCCUUAUCCUAGAAAAGGGAUAAUAACUGUUAUGCAAGUAUAUAUAUCAAAAAGUAAUAACUGUUAUGCAUAAAUAAAUAAAUAAAUAAAUAAAUAAAUAAAUAAAUAAAUAAAUAAAUAAAUAAAAAAGAGGUGCGUGUGAUAUGUUAUCCACCGCACCUCCUCGUUCUAAUUAUCCACUGAUCCGCGGGACCCACCGAGCAGGCGCGAGAUUCUCCCGAAAAUGCCCUCCGGCGCGAACGGUUAUAUAUAGCGGGCACGGGCAACGCCCAGCCCCGGCAGCGGCAGAGCACGGCAGGCAGGCAGGCAGGCAGUCCCCGCACCAGCACAGCGAUCCAACCCAAACCCAGAGCAGCAACCCUGUGCCGGCCGGCAAUCGCAGUCUCUGUCUGGGUCCUCGUCUCCCCCCCAACCCUCCCGUCCCGUCUCGCUCCCAAAUCCUUCCACGUACCCCGGCGGCCGGCAGUAGGGAGGCCUAGGAGAGAAGGGAGAACAAGAUGGUCGGACUCCUCCCGGAGACCAAUGCCGCGGCGGAGACCGACGUCCUCCUCGACGCCUGGGACUUCAAGGGCCGCCCCGCCCCGCGCGCCACCACCGGCCGCUGGGGCGCCGCCGCCAUGAUCCUAGGUACCUACCUACCUAUACCUUCCUUCCUUCCUUCCUUCCUUCCUUCAUUCCUUCAUUGCUUCGUUGAUCCGACCGCCGCCGCCGCCGCCGCCGCCGCCGCCGGCCGGCCAUCCAUUGUUCCAUCUCAAUCGGCGGCAGGCAGAUCUGGCCUGCCUGCGUCGAUCGAGAUCCCUCGCCUCGCUCGCUCUCUGACGAUCGAGUCUGAACUGUGAACGAUGAAUAAUAAUGCAUGGGCUGUCCUGUACUGACUUGUGAAUCUCAAUCUCUGUGGUGUCGCUGCAGUGGCGGAGCUGAACGAGCGGCUGACGACGCUGGGCAUCGCCGUGAACCUGGUGACGUACCUGACGGGGACCAUGCACCUGGGCAACGCCGAGUCCGCCAACGUCGUCACCAACUUCAUGGGCACCUCCUUCAUGCUCUGCCUCCUCGGCGGCUUCGUCGCCGACUCCUUCCUCGGACGCUACCUCACCAUCGCCAUCUUCACCGCCAUCCAGGCAUCGGUCAGUAAUAGUAUACUCAUCACAUUCUUUCAUAUUCUGUUUUCCCUUUUCUUUUUGUCAUCUGCUUGGAUUAUUGGAUAAUAAUCCACUCACUCAUUCAUUCAGUCAUUCAUUCAUGUCCAUUAAUGUCACCGGCGUGCUCUGCUCUGUACAUGUCGGUCAGUCAGUUUUGCUGGAUGAUAAUGGGUCCAGUCAAUCUGCUCUGUCACCCAUCGACAAAAUAUCUGCUUUGGGCUUUUCAUCAUCUUGAUUAUUAUUGUUCCUUUCCCUAGCUAGUAAGAGCAGGCCAGGACUAGUUGUCAGUAAAAACCAAAUAAAAAUUGGAACUUUCCAUCCACAAGAUUCUCCUUCUCUGAAAAGCACACGCGCACGGCGCACCCAAUGAAACAAACAAACAAACAAAGGAGAGGCUGGCUAUGCCAAUUCAGUCAUCAUCGCCGUCGUCAGUCAUAUACAUGCAUGGAGUGAUGGUGGUGCUAGCUGGACAGCAACCGCUAUGCAAUUCCCUUUUCCAUUAUUAUCAGUCGAGCUAGAUUCGAUCCUUGCAUCAUCUCAUCUCAAAUCAUCUGUGUCUGUCAAUCUACCUCACCUCACCUGAUGAAAUGAAACCGUAAAUAAAACUAAACAGAUUUCUAAUCUAUUAUUAGUUAUUACUGAACACUGCACACACACACCGGAAAAGGAGCCAGUAAUUUUUUAAAUUUAAUCUACUAAUAAUCACGAAAAGGUUUAAAAGGUUGGAUUUUUGACAAAUAUCCUACAUAUAUAUAUACAUCUGCUAGCUGAUUGAUGAUGAUACACACACGUACAAGUAUAGUAAGUAAUUUGUUUGUUGUCGUAUUACGCACGUGCAGGGCGUGACGAUCCUGACGAUCUCGACGGCGGCGCCGGGUCUACGUCCGGCGGCGUGCUCCGCCAACGCCGGCGACGGGGAGUGCGCGCGCGCGUCGGGCGCGCAGCUGGGCGUGAUGUACCUGGCCCUGUACCUGACGGCGCUGGGCACGGGGGGGCUCAAGUCCAGCGUCUCCGGCUUCGGCUCCGACCAGUUCGACGAGUCGGACCGGGGCGAGAAGCACCAGAUGAUGCGCUUCUUCAACUGGUUCUUCUUCUUCAUCUCGCUGGGGUCUCUGCUGGCCGUCACCGUGCUGGUCUACGUCCAGGACAACCUGGGCCGGCGCUGGGGGUACGGCGCCUGCGCCUGCGCCAUCGCCGCCGGGCUCGUCAUCUUCCUCGCCGGCACGCGCAGGUACCGGUUCAAGAAGCUGGUGGGGAGCCCGCUCACGCAGAUCGCCGCGGUGGUGGUGGCGGCGUGGCGGAAGAGACGGCUCCCGCUACCCGCUGACCCUGCCAUGCUCUAUGACAUCGACGUCGGCAAGGCCGCCGCCGUGGAGGAAGGCUCCGGCAAGAAGAGCAAGCGCAAGGAGCGCCUCCCCCACACCGACCAGUUCCGGUAAGUUCUAGCUGGAUUUUGUUGCCUACCUACCUUUUACUUACUACUUACUUUCCAAAACAUGAACAUCUACUGUUGUUUACUUUUGUCCAUCGUCAUCACCAUGCUCUAGGAAUGGUAAUUAUUUGCCAGCACACACAAAAAAAAACUUAUACUACCACCUGAGUAAUACUACAGCGGUAUGCCGGUAUGUAUAAUGGAUUAAUUAGCUAAGUGAUGGCAUCAGUCAAUUAAAACAAGAGUCCAAGUAAGAUGGACUGGCAGCAGACCAAUAGGGUUAGUUGCCUUACUAUUGGUUGACCUCAUUUGUCAUUCUCACUUGGAUUACAACCAGAGAGACUUGAGUGAUACAGCCAUUGCCAGACAAACAACAGAGAGGAUAUAUGUACAUGUACUGUCUGUCUGCAACUGCAAUAACAAUAUAUACAAUUUGCCAGCUAGGCUAGGGUACAAAAUCCAAACCAGUCCAAUGCAUGUAGAUGCAAACGGAUGGAUUGCACAAUCGAAUGCACUGUUCUUUGUCCCCUCCAUCUCCCUAUAUCGUUUUCUCCCAACUUGCAUCGGCCACACUCACGUGUUGUACUAUGGGUGAAUUCAUGGCAAAUUCAUUCAUGCACACCAGAGCUGCCAAUCGCCUUCUCCCUACUACUAAAGUCCACAAAUUCAUUAACAGCCGACGACGCCGUCCUUGGCCGGUGGCCAAGCCAGCUAAAACCUUCCUUGAUUCCGGUGGCAUGGCAGACGAGUCAGUCACUGACAAGUGGUCCUACACACCUCUCUGAAUGUCAACCAUCGCCGACAGCCGGGCCCAACCUCCUUGUCCUGUCACCCGUUCACUAGACGCUGCAUACGCGUAGCACCUCUCUUUCGCUUGACGACUUAGCCUUUCGCUUAGCUUUAGCGAACCUCUUAUGUUAAGUGAUGUCCCCACACAUCAUAUGAUGUUUAGGGAAAGAGGAUAAGAGCUCCGGGUGAGCGACAAAUGUCUGGGUUUGGCAGCACCCAGACCAAUAAUUGCGUUAUUCUAAUGCUCCCCUAGGGUGACGGAGAAGGGUCACGGACUGUGCUCGGCUGAGGCUCCCUCCCUUUGCCUUCCCCUGUUGCUGUCUGUUCCCCCGGCCGUCCCUGGUGGCUGCUGCUAGCUAUCCCUUAUUGUCCUCCUCUGCCCGGUGCUCUGUACUGCAACCGCUGCAUCCAAACACUAGCAAAUAUCUGUCUGCACAAAAAAUUCAGAGCAGGAUAUAUAUAGUAGAUAUUGUAUAAAUAUAUAAAUAUAUAUGUGUGUGUGUAGAUAUGGUCCAACUGAACACCUGCUGAAAUUCAGAGACGCAGAAUAUACUAGUACUAUUAGUAGUACAAAACUGGGGGAAGAUGUGAGGAAAAACAUGGGGGAGGUCGGCAUGCGAAGCCAAACGAGAUUGCUCGAUCUCGCUCGUUGUCUAGCUGCAGUCCUCAGUUUUUGGUGUCAUUUGCGAGGUUUUUGGGAGUCUUGUGAGGAGGAAGAAAACAGCCCCUCACCCACCUAGUAGUAGCUAGCUUGUAGCUUCACUUUCUCAAGACUUGGACUGACCUCUCAGUUUCCCGGACUUUUCCUGGGAGUCGGCAUUGAAAAUGUGAUAUAGCAAGGCGGCGUAACUUCGACGGUUUGAAUUUGAGAUAUUGAAUAGUGGUAUUGAGUAAGUAAGUAGCUCCAAUGGGAUGUAGACAGGACUGGAAGAGUGUGUAUAUGGGAUCUUGAUAUGGGGAGGUCAUAACAAUCUGCAUCUAGAAGGUGUCAUGCAUGGAGUAUGUUUAAGAUUAGUGAAUUAUUGGGCAUUAGCUCGAUCUGCAUUCCUCUCUAGCCUAGAGAAGAAGAACCGUGAAGAAGAACGGUUUCUUGUUGGCGAUGUGAUGAUGACAUGAGUAGGGGAAUGACCAAGUUACAGCAAAAGCUAACCUAAUUUACUCUAGCAUAGACAGAAGAAAACGCCAGAGUCAUCGGCAUCACCCUUUUCCCCCCUUUUUUCUCACUCAGGCCUUGUUUAGUUCGCAAAAUUUUUUGUUUUUUGGUACUGUAGUAUUUCGUUUUUAUUUGACAAACAUUGUCCAAACACGGAGUAACUAGGCUCAAAAGAUUCAUCUCACAAAUUACAGGUAAACUGUGUAGUUAGUUUUUAUUUUUGUCUAUAUUUAAUGCUCUAUGCAUGCGACCAAAGAUUCGAUGUGACGAAGAAUCUUGAAAAUUUUUGCGAACUAAACAAGGCCUCACUCACUUGGAAAUCAAUUUGCAGUAGAACAUGCUGUCCUGUGACAGGGAAAUCAAGUUGCAGUAGAAACAUUAUUGUCCUAGCUAAUUCACUCCUGUCCUGUCGUCGAUAUGUGUAGCUAGCUAGCCAACAAUAGCCUCCAAAAUCUCUUAAGACUUCUGCUGUAGAAUCACAUCAGGGAAGAAGAAGAGAAAAAAAAUGACACGGACAUUGCUUGAAAACGAAACCAAAAUGGGAUUCAGCUAGUAGGGUGACGCCGUGACGGGUGACGGCGUAGCGAAGGUCGUUCCAGAUGAAAUUUCUUUGAAGAGACUUGAUUGAUCCUGGAUUGGAAUAAGAAGAGGGUUGGCGACAGUGACCACUGACAGACUCACAGAGAGACAGACUUGAUCGUACACGUGUGAUGUGUGCGCCCAAACUGAACAUAUUCCUUCAUAUAAUGUGUUAUGAUAUGAACUCACAGAGUCACAGUCAUAGUACAGUGGGGCACUACAUAACAUAAUGCACUGGAAGAAUAGAAGGCUAUAGGUAAUCUGAAUCCCCAAAAGACAGCCUUACAGAUACGCAUUUCCCUCAAUUAUUAGAUCACUGUUUGCUAGUCUGACCGGGACGUGUGCACGCACUGCACACACCGAAAGGCACCCCCCCUCGAUCGAAAAAAAAGGCAGAGGAAAGGCGGGUGCAUGAUUGUUAGUUUCAGGGUGCCAAAUGAAAUGGAGAUCGGCAGCAUGAUUCAGCGGUGGACGCGAAAGGCUCAAAGCCACACCACAACGAAGGUAGGGAUGGCGAUCUUGCAUGAGAGAUAGGACAGAGGAGCAGCACAGCAGCAGCAUGGUGUGUUGUGUGUGGGGAACCUUCCUACUCGCCUAGCUGCUAUGGACCAACGGACGGACGGACGACGAGUGGCCGCCAUGGAUGGCGACGGCCAAAGCUAUCUAUCUAUCUAACCGAUCGAAGCAACCUUUUGCAUUGCAUCCAUUCUCACAUGCUGCUGUGCUGCUGUCUAGGUAGGUUGGCCGUCGUCUUUGGCAUGGCUCCCUUGGCACUGCAUCUCUUUUCUGUGUGUGUCUGUGUGUGUGGUGUGGUGAUGGUGUGGCCAUACAUGUCUGCAGCUGGAAAAGCUGUGGAGAAAGAUCACUGGAGGGAUCGAGAUCGAGCAGACCAAUAGACCAUCUCAUGGACGCAUGGACCAUGGCCAUACGCUGGAGAUAAAAGCAGCUUGCACUGCAGGCAUGUCAUGUGAUGUGAUGGUGCCUGCCGGCUGCCGUUGCCAUCUCCAAUCCGUGCUCUCUUACGCUGGCCUGAUCAAAGAUUAGUGGCUGCUAUGCUAACCCUAGCUUGCUUACUUGCUGGCAUAGAAACCGACCCUUCCUCCUUUUUUACGGCCCUUUUUUUUCUGUACUUUUAGACAGAAGACGUUGUGAGUUAGUGGUGUCCGGGACCUGAACACGUGAUCUCGUCGGGGUUUGGGCAAAUGGGCGGCAUGGCGGUCGGCAUCGAUCGGCACGGACGACAUGGCUGGGACUCCUCACAGUUUUCUGAAGGGUUCGAGGCUCAUGUCCGUCCUCCUGCUGGCAAAUUCCCUGCCGUUAGUUUCGUCGCAAUGCUUUUGCACAUGACUGCAUGAGCAUAUGACAAAGACAGGGGACGGGUAUGGUAUUCCUUUUGCUGAGUGAUCACAUGGCAAAGCAUCAGAUUAACGCCAGACACGGGGGAGGGAUAGAUAGAUGUGCCCACUACCACUAACCCUCUCCUUUGUUUGUUAUCUUAUCGAUAAGGCAUCACAGCUGAUCCUGAGUCCUGACCACAAUGCUUUGUUUAAGUCUCUUCAGAGUUUCAGACUUCAGAGUCGUCGUCAAUGACGAUGAUGCUAUGUGCUAACCGGUCUAUCUGGGGAAGGAAGGAUGCUUUGCUUACACCUGCAUCAUUCCAUCAUUUGCAUAUUAGCAUGAACAGGUGUUUGGUUCUUGUCCCUGAUUGGGCCUCAACAGUCCACCAUGUGGGGGAAGAUUGGGAAAGAUUAUUGCCACACCUGACGCACUGAAUCUCUUGUGUUUAUUUAAAUUAAACCCCCGGCGUGGGUCUCAUUCCAUAGCAUGACUCUGGCAGGCAGGCAGGCAGGCAGCAGGCUUCUGCAGAUGACCUGUUUAAAUGAUAAGCUCUGACGACUCAUUAGGUGUCGACAAUUCUCUCCGGAGUGAUUAGUAUUGAGAUGGCGAUUGCAUCUUCUAUCUAUAAUAAGAAAUACAGAUGCCCCUGCAUGCUUGACGGAUCGUAAGCAUGCAUGUAGGCCGGCCAUCUGCUUAAACUAGCACUAGCUCUGAACAAUUGUUGUUUAGGUGUCUGAUUGGGUUCGUGUCUCCAUCUCGUGCAGAAUCUCGCGCCUGUGACCACUGCUUUACUCUGCGCAUGCCUCUUGUUUGGUGUUUUCCUCAAAGCCCGAAACCACUUUGCAUUCUGCAUGCCUCUCUGUUUCAGCUUAAAGUAGUCCACUGAUAGCGACCUGAAUGUCUGAAUUUCUGAAAAGAACAUUUUUUUUUUCCCCAGAGAACAUUUCAAGAAUGAACUUUUUAAUAAGCAAUCUUAUAUAGUAAUAUAUAUGUCUCACUGCUUGAUCGGAAAAAAAAUGAUAUUAUAAUUAACUUUACUGUUUGUCUUUUUCUGAAGAAAGCAAAAGAUUUACUCUGUCUGAACUCUGAACAGAAAGAAGCUCCUGCUUGUUUAUCCUUUCAGCUUUUGAUUGAAUGCUGUUGCUUGAAUUUUUAUUUUUUAUUUUUCAAAAUCUAACAGCAAUAGCUUACGGUUUAGUUUCCCGCGUGUUUAAUUUGGUACCUGCAGCUUCCUGGACCACGCUGCCAUCAACGAGGAGCCGGCGGCGCAGCCGAGCAAGUGGCGGCUGUCGACGCUGACGGACGUGGAGGAGGUGAAGACGGUGGUGCGGAUGCUGCCCAUCUGGGCGACCACCAUCAUGUUCUGGACGGUGUACGCGCAGAUGACCACCUUCUCGGUGUCGCAGGCCACCACCAUGGACCGCCACAUCGGCUCCUCCUUCCAGAUCCCGGCGGGCUCCCUCACCGUCUUCUUCGUCGGCUCCAUCCUGCUCACCGUGCCCGUCUACGACCGGAUCGUGGUGCCCGUGGCGCGCCGCGUGAGCGGCAACCCGCACGGCCUGACCCCGCUGCAGCGGAUCGGCGUCGGCCUCGCGCUCUCGGUCAUCGCCAUGGCGGGCGCCGCGCUCACGGAGAUCAAGCGGCUCCACGUGGCGCGCGACGCCGCCGUGCCGGCCGGCGGCGUGGUGCCCAUGUCCGUGUUCUGGCUCAUCCCGCAGUUCUUCCUGGUGGGCGCCGGCGAGGCGUUCACGUACAUCGGCCAGCUCGACUUCUUCCUCCGCGAGUGCCCCAAGGGGAUGAAGACCAUGAGCACGGGGCUGUUCCUCAGCACGCUGUCGCUGGGGUUCUUCGUCAGCUCCGCGCUCGUCGCCGCCGUGCACAAGGUCACCGGCGACCGCCACCCAUGGAUCGCCGACGACCUCAACAAGGGCAGGCUCGACAACUUCUACUGGCUGCUCGCCGUCAUCUGCCUCGCCAACCUCUUGGUCUACCUCGUCGCCGCCAGGUGGUACAAGUACAAGGCCGGACGACCCGGCGCCGACGGCAGCGUCAACGGCGUCGAGAUGGCCGACGAGCCCAUGCUCCACUGAUGGAUGAUCGACGAGGCACGCGACGACGUACGUACCACCUAUACCAAAAGCAUGCAUAUCCGUCCGAUCGUCGAUCAAAUCCAACGGCUCUGAUUGAUUGCUCAGCGUGUUGUACCAUCGUAUCAUGUGUUACUCAGUCAGUAUACGAGUGUGUGUAUCUUCUCUAUCAAAGCGUAUAGCACGCGCCGAUAUGAUUUAGCGGCGCGUGCCUACGCGUGUAGUAUAAAAAUUAAUAACUUGGUUCUUAGAGUGGAGGGGGGAGGGAGGGGCGGAAAUGUAAAACCGCACAAGGAUGGUGGGGCCAGGGUGUCCGUGACAUAGUGUUACUGCAUUUUGUAUAUCGUCGUGGUGGGAAGAAAAAUCCUCCACUGCAAUCUUUAAAUCAUGCAAGAGAGGAGGAGAAAAUAGAGGAUGUCAUGUGUGCUGCUUUUGGUUGAUUGACCUACAAAAGUUUUGAAAACCUUUUCCCGGCGUUUUCAUGUGGACUUUGAGAAAUUUGAAAAACUCUACCUAGUACUUUUCCUGGCGUUUUCAUGUGGACUUUGAGAAAUUUGAAAGGUUGGAAUAAUGAAAAACUCAAACUAGUAGGACAGGAUGUCGUAUAUAUUAUAUACUUGAUAUUUAUGUUGUCUCAAAAUAAAUUAACUUCUACAACCACAAUAAAUAUGUAAAAACUAUCUUGAAUUUGAUCAACUCUAUAGUAAAGAAUAACAACACUCAUGACAUCAAAUAAGUAAAUUAAAUAUAUUUCAAGAUAAAUCCAGUGUUCAAAUUUCAUGUCAUAAAUAUUGGUGGUAUUCUUAUAAAUCCAGUUAAUUUAAAAUUUAAAAUAAAAAAAUAUAACUUGAUAUAACUUUAGAAGUUAAUUUACUGGGACCGAAGGAGAUUAUAAUGGUGUGCAAAGCUCUCGUAGGUUAAGGUUAAGAAGACCUGCCUUUUGUUAAGAAAACUAAGAAGGUUCAUCAGUCCUUUUUUUUUUGACAGAGUCCUCUAAUUGUUUGGCAAGACGACAAGUAAAUGAAUAUACUCCUACACAAGCUGAGAAGCUUCAUCGCCAAAGGAUCUCUAGCUUAGUGCUUAGAGCACCUAGGUAGCAUCCAACAGACUCUCCGUGAGAGUGAAUUUAAAUAGAUCUAAAAUAAAAAAUAUAAAAAAAUAGGUUGUGUUUCCCCUACUAACUUCAGUAAAAAAAAAAGGUUCAUAAGUCGAGCAGGAGUUAAGAACGUCCGUCGAAAAGAUACCAAAGCAGAGCAAAUGCUUCCCCCAAGUUUCACGGAAACAGCACGCUUUUAUGUGAAUUUCGCCCUCCCAAAAAAAAAGCAGGUGAAACCCCUUUUCCCAUACUAGGAACGAACGUUCUCGUAUGGUAAUUUCGUCGUUGCACCAACAAAAUUUCGGCGGCGGCUGUUGAUCUGACGGCCCACACGGAACGGACUCGAUCCGACGGCCGUCGAACCGACGCGUCCGUAAAGGGCGAGCCCGUAUAUGCAUGCGUGUCAGCGUGCGGUUCGUGGACAAUCGCAACGAACAAGAACGAAAGCCUUUGCUGCCAAAUCUGUCUCCUACAACCGUACGAGGACAAUGGAGAACGCAGCAACCGACGACACGUCCAGGCCCGACGCCGGCGAGCACGGCCACGACUGCGGCGGCGGUGGCCGUGGUUGGACGGUGGCGCAGGACAGCGUCCAGAGCGCCUCCGCCGUGACGGAGGUGGGCAGCAGCGGCAAUGCGGUGGCGGCGGCGGCGGAGACGCGGCGGCCCGGCCUAGACGACGGCCGCGGCGAGGACUACGGAUGGCUGACGGUGUUGGAGAAAAACGCGGUGGACGAUGACUACUACGACCCGGUGGAAGCAGAGAUGAUGGCCGCCGGCGGCGACGUGCAAACCUCUCCGGCGAGGCUCGCCGCGACGAGGUUUGGGUGGCUGCUGCUAGGGUUUCUCGCCGGCGCGGCCACCGCCGUGCUCUUCCUGAUGCGUCACGACUCGCCGGUGACAACGUGCACGGUGGUGCCAACCUGAAUAACUACACAUAUAUACAUAUAUAUUCCUUCACUUCUUGAUUGCAGAGUAAUUGGAACAGAAGCAUGUAUAUGAUGUUGUGAUCAAACCUGAAGCUACUUUUUUUUACUAGUUACUCUGAAUGCUCAGUGAUUACAUACUAUACACAUCUAAUGCAUCUCUGCGAAUUCGGAAUACUAAAGACUAAAUAAAUGAUUGGUUCAAAUAUGUGACAAAUUCAUCAGACUUGCAACAGUUCAAACAUUUUCAGUUGGGUAGAAACAUACCAGCAAAUUUGAGAUCCAUCAGAAUCAGAAAGAAUAAAGGUUAUGUGAAGGGUAACAACGUUGCGGCAGUUAGGUUUAAAACAAGUCUACCAACUCUGAGAAGAAUUCUGAACAGAAAAGGUAUGAACCACCACAAUGUACACAAACCGAAGGCUUCUAGGAGUGCUGCUGUUGUUACACGUUAGAACAGGGCGCUCCGAUUAGGAGCACAAACACAUGGGGAGGCAUACCACGUGUGGGUAUCCUCUCAUGGGAGUAUAGCCUUGCUGGAGACACCACCAUUCCACUAUGUUCUCUUGAGGAUGUAGCCGACGAUGAUGCCCAGAAGGCCAACGACAAACAAGAAGGUGAUGGAGAAACCGCCGCCGCUGGUUUUGCUGCUCUCUUUCCGUAGAAGUUCCUGAUGAAGAGAGGCAGAAAUUCGUGAGCCUGAAAAACUCUUGAAACUCAUAUACUUGAGUUAGCACACAGGUUUUGAUCAAUUAUGCUUUUUGAAAUUAUUACACUAGGGCAUAGCAAUGUUAAAGCUUUUGAUUUAUUGGUGUAUUACCUUUUCUAAAUAUGCAGCUACUAGGUAUUCACUCAGAUAACAUUAGAUGCAGUUGCUUGAAUAUUGGAACAGGAUAGUAUUCUCAUCACACCAGGACCAUCCAAAAUUUCAGUCAUCACAAGCAAACUAACAGACCCUCGAAUGCAAAUACAGAUCUUAGUUUGUUGACUUGAAAUUGAUUAUUAAAUUUCUAACAGGAGCAAUAAGUUUAGCUUGCAUAAAAAGCUGAUGAUUUUGACAAUUGCACAGUUUGUAGGAACAAGAAAGAUUUCACUUCAGUAGCUUUCAAUGUUCUUUUCCUUGUGAUGACAAUGACGAUCAGAGAAGCAAGUGAGAAUCAUACAAUAAUGGCAUCAAUAACAAUAUCAUCAUAAGUAAUAUUUUUAUGAGAAUGGAAACAAUAAAAAGGACAUUUAAAAAACAAAUGGUCACAAUCACAAACUACAGUACUGAUUCAGGACUACCAAAAUGUCUGGAGAACUUACCAGCUCUUGUCGUAACUUCUGGUUCUGCUGAAUAGCAGACAUUUUCUCCUCAGUUAGCUUGGAGAUCACAGACGUUGCCUAGGAUCACCAACCAGAGUGAAUUAGUCAAAAUCGCAAAACUUCAUAAAGUAUCUUACAACUUAUACACAAUCACCAAGUUAGUUCCUGUAUUUUGGCUUUCUGCUGUCAAGGACUUGAUAGAUCAGACAUGAAGAAGCAAAAACUGCAGAUGUCAGACAAAUUAUAUCUUCCAACUUGUCACUACUCAUCUGAUGAAGCAUAUUCAUGUCUAAGAGCUAUAUGAGCAUUCAAAGCAAGUGGUUCAUGUGAAUAAGAAAUCAUGAAGGAAUCAAGGUUAAAAAACUAACAAGGGAUUCGUUCCCUAAGCUACUUACAUUCCAUCUAGUUUGCCUCUCUUCCUAAAAGUACAGAGUUUAGUGAUAAUGAGGCAUUGAUAUUUCUCAACUAUUCAAAAUGGAUAGUGAAUAUGAUCACAAAAUCUUAGAAAACCAGAAAUCCAUUAUAGUCAUCAAUAUAUGUGAUAGCAAACUUCAUCUAAGAAGUUACCAUGACAGUGCUGGAAUAUUUGAUACCAAACCAUAAUCAUAUGUGAUAGAUCUAAACAUCAGAAAAAGCUAUAUCCAUACAGCAAGAUUUCUGAUAGUAUCAUUUUGAUAUUUCUCAACUAUUCAAAAUGGAUAGUGAAUAUGAUCACAAAAUCUUAGAAAACCAGAAAUCCAUUAUAGUCAUCAAUAUAUGUGAUAGCAAACUUCAUCUAAGAAGUUACCAUGACAGUGCUGGAAUAUUUGAUACCAAACCAUAAUCAUAUGUGAUAGAUCUAAACAUCAGAAAAAGCUAUAUCCAUACAGCAAGAUUUCUGAUAGUAUCAUUUCUUUCCAAGGGUAAAAAAGUCUUUUAUUACUUCAUGAAUGGAUAUUACCACCAAGGGAUAUUGCUUCCCACCAAGCUUUUGUAAUCAGUUGAAAUUUGCAAGACAGUAUAUGUUUCCAAAAUUUUAAGGAUUAUCAACUACUGAGAUUCAUCAUGGAUAUAUAGACCAAUUCUUCCCAUGAGUCCAUCUUCAAUCUUUCUUAUCAAUUAAACAAUGAAUUGUAUGCAUAACAGGCUAGUUAGGUCAAGUCUAGCAAGGGCAUAUCACAUAAUUCAAACAUUGUUGAUGUGCAAUCACAGGAUGCUUUUGCAAGUUGCAAGCUUUUAAAUUUAAUAGCAUUGAUGUCUAAUGAGGCAACCAGAGCAUCUCCAAGAGAUUAGCUAAACCAUUUUCUAAAGGUAAAUUUAGCUAUUCUUGAAGGAAAAACGUUUCCAACAGACUCUGUAAAUGA
rnacentral:lncRNA from 1 species